rnacentral:lncRNA from 1 species
ACAACCUCUCUACCUUCCAAGGUAGGGGUGAGGUCUGCGUACACAAUACCCUCCCUAGACCCCACUUGCUGGAUUACACUAGGUAUUGUUGUUAUUGUUGUUGUAGUACUUUUUCUUUUGCUUCUUUUCCUUGGUGAAAGGCAAGGCCUUGCAUGCGGUGAAGUGGAAAGAAAGUCAGUGGCAUCAGACGAGACCAUCCUUAAAUAUGCAAGAUUUUGAUGUCGGAAAUGUCUUUUGGAGCUUAGAUAAGCAAGACUCUGAUGUAAGAAAUGCAUCCUUAAAAUUAAGAUAACUCUAGAUAUUAAAUGUCAUGACCUAUGUUCAGAAAGAAAAUGGAAUACAAAUAUCUGCACCAUAGAAUGUAAGAAAUGCCCUUUUGAGCAGAAAAGGGUAGAAAUAAGCAUGUGACUCAUGCCAUCUUCUCCAAAUGAAUUAUCCAAAAUAAGCAGACUCAUUGGGAAAUCUAGUUGUAUUCCCUAUUUGAUUAGUUGCCCAACUAAUACAAACACAUCAAAAUUCAAAUGGAGCCCUCACUAGAUCUAGAUGGCUAAAAGGAUUUACCUCAUCGCCUUUUUUAAUUCUUUGUCCUGCAUUUAUCAUCACCUCCAGCAUGCGGUCCUUGAAGCGCCAAUGGAAAAAGCAAUUUGGCUGAAAAGAAUGAUUCAUCAUGUCUGGAGGAAGAGAUGAGUAAAGAUUAGAAGGAUUUCUCAUGAAUAAAGCUUGGUUGAGAAUGUUAAGAUUUCUCUCCAUCCACCAAACUUUAAAACACUAACUUUUAAUUGUGUGUUGUCUAAAUAAACCAAUUUAAGCCACAUUUUCACUCUCGAAAUAUUGGAGGACAGAAGUACAACAGAAGAUGCUCACCAGCAUAAGGUACCAACAUAUUUGCAUCUUGAACCAGUGCACCAAUUCUCGUCUGCAAGUUGAUGCAUCGAGAUUGUGCUAUACUCAUUGCCCAAAUAAAUCUCUCAGGAUCCCGAGCAAGACGCUUAAUCUUGAGAGGUACUGCAGAAUGCUAAACAAAUGAAGAAAGUCAAAGGCCAUUGUUAAUGAGCAGGAAUUUGGAGGAAAUAAAUUGAACAAGAUUGUAUGGGAGGAAUUUGGAAGAAAUAGAUUGAACAAGAUUGUAUGUACCCAGUUUUUCUCCCAAAACUCAAGUGCCCGAUGUUGCUGUUCCCUCAUGGUUGAAGCAAGCUUCUCGUCUUGCAACUCCAAAAGAUCCUCCUACAGCACAGAAAGCAUUAAGAAGAAAGAGCGUGCCAGGAACGCAAAACAAGUGUUCAUUAUAACUCUAGAACUGACAUUCUAGAAAUCAGUCCACCAAGUACAUGCCAAAUGCAGCCAUUCCUUGUUUUUGUUUGCAACAGAUCUUUCUGAUCAAAACCAGCCCAGCUGACUAAUGGAAAAUGCAAACCACAGAAGUGAUCAAGCUUCAAGCAUUUAUUGUUUUUCAGUUAGAAAACCCAAAUGGUACUUCAAAUUUAGACUUUUGGUGCAGAAGAAAGUCUCAAUAGACACACACAUUAAAACAACACUCAGUAGACGAAAUUUUUCUAUCAAACAACAGUUUGAAUAUCAUAAAAGCUUUUUUUUUUUCACAUUUCAAGUUACUCAAACUUGAACCUCAGCAGAACAUCAUAACAAAAUGAGGAUUGAUUUUGUGAAUGCACAGCAUUUUCUAUAGAAUCUUCCUCAAAAUAUUACAUUAAUUGAAAGCACCUAAAUUUGGAUAACACUCAUAUCCAGACCUCAGUAGCUAGAAGAAAGCUAGUACAUUCAUCAGCACUAGGCAAGAAGUCUCCAUAAAGCUGCCAAAAGUUGUCCUUGCAAUCAAAAGCAUAUAAAAGAAGACAUGCCAACCUCAAGUCCGAAUCUGUCUGCCAACAAAAGCUGAUCAAUAUUAAAAAAUCACAAGAGAUCUUAGAAUGCCAGACUGAAUUGAAAAAAUCAAAGAACAAACAAAGAAAAAUGCAGAUAAAUAUAUUCCCAUGUGUACGGUGUUGCAUUAGAGAAAAAAGGUAACACUUCUAUUUUUAUUUCUUAACCAGCCAAAGAAAAUGUGGAUAAGUUUUUUCUCAUGUUUACAAUUAGAGAAGAUUUCAAAGGAGAAAAUGCAUCCUUUUACCUCAGGAUUGGUUGAAUUGAUAAUGUCGAAUAUUGGAUGUCCUAAAGGUAUGAUAUCUGGAAAAAACAUCCAAGGAAGCUUUUUGCUUAUUGUUAACAUCAGUUCUAGAGGAAUUUCCAUUAUUACCUGCAUUACAAACAAAACCUCAUCAUUCAUUGACCGGUAAAGAUUUUAAUGAUAACGAAAAGGUGAGAAGAUAAUCAAAGUGAAAAGAGGAAUCAAACAGUCGAGUUAAUGCAAAAUGAAUUAGACACAAUCGAAACUACGUAAGACAUUAUAGAAUACACCACAGCAGGAGAAAAGUUAGAAGUGCCUAGGCACUGACACAUAUAUCUUAAAAGGGCAGCCCAAUGCACUAAAGCUCUUGGGCAGGGUCAGGGGAAGGGCCCGACCACAAGGAUCUAUUGUACACAGCCUUACCUUGCAUUUCUGCAGGAGGCUGUUUCCAAGGCUUGAACUCGUGACCUCCUGGUCACAUGGCAGCAACGUUAGCAACUUUACCAGUUACUCCAAAGCUCCCCUUCACUGACACAUAUACCUUAUGGUGUUAAAAAGCAAAUGAGGGAAAUAAACUUAGGAAACUCAUCCCAGAAAGAAGGAAGGGAGAGUAGAUUAAAGGGCACUACAAUUCUCCCAUGUCCUUUUUUUCCACUUCCUCCAAUUUUCAGGGGCGGAAUGGAUUGGAUGAAGUUCAGCUUUAGGUAUAGCAAAACAUUGAUGGAGCACUGAAUUUGACACUGUGUCCGAUGGUAAAGUUACACAUUCCAUCAGGAGGAGGAAAACGUUCUACACAAAAACAUAGUGUAAGGUAGUGCUCACCCUAGCUCGACGAAGAGGCUCCACGUCUUUGGAAGCAAACACUCCAUACCCAUCUGGCCCCUCCCUGAAUUCAAUUCCGUAGGCUCGAAAACUUCUAACAUAUCCUAUUUUGUAGAAAUCAGGAUCUGCCAGUUCCAACUGUUCAUAUGAAAAUAUUACAUAACCUUCAUCAACAGGAGAAAAUAAGGAUAAUUUGAAAUAAUCAAAAAGAAUAACAAACAGGAAACUAUAUGGUCAUCAGCUUCUCAAAAGAAAAUCAAAGGAUGUAAGACCGAGAAAAGAGAGGGACUCUAACCAUCAGUUUGACUAUGUAACAACAGAGAUGGGAAAUCUAUACAUGCCAAUGUGAAAAUGAAACUGAGCAUUUAACUGAAAAUCUUAAGGCAAUUGGGGAGUAGCUUAAAAUCUUUAUAAACCCUUUGGAUGCCCCUAAAUACCAGAUGUGAGGCAUCCUAUAUAUCCGAAACCCUUCGCCCAAACUUGAAAAGCACACGUGAAUUUGAAUGCAGACUCACGUGUGUGAGAACAGACUUAAUAAUUGGUGAAAAUUUCCGACUUAUUAAACGAAAAUUUAUUCAGUGGGGGAGUAAUACAAUGCCUUUAAAAAGAACAGUUAUCAUGCCCCUAACCUGAUGUAGAACAUUUUAUAUUACUAACAUAGUAAUCACCAAAAAAAUUAUAUGGGACCUGAAAGUAUUCUAUACCUAGACACAAAGAAUUUGUGAAGAAAAACUCAAAUGAGGAACAAAACCAAUUCAAAAGUACGACAAUCUGCCGAUCUUCAAAGUGUAACUCCUAUCUUUUCCAAAUAUCAACUGCCUGGCUAGCACUUCCUUCAAUUUAUUGAGAAACAAGUACUUCAUGUUAUGCGCAGGGUGCACUAAAUCUCCUACUAUGCGUAGGGUUCGGGGAAGGGCCCCACCACAAGGUGUAUUGUACGCAGUCUUACCUUGCAGUUCUGCCAAAGGUUGUUUCCAAGGCUUGAACCUAUGAACUAACUAGUAAAGAAAGAGAAACCAUGUCUAAAAAGGAAAAUGUAUGCAGUGCUAAAACUUAAGGUGUCCAUUCUAGCUGGUUUAGAGGUGAAUUAUGCAGGUAUUAAAUCUUACAUAAGUAUAUCAUGUUUGGUAGUUGGUUAAGAGGUAAGUUAUUCAUAAGUAUAUCAUGUUUGGUAGCUGGUUAAGAGGUAAGUUAUUCAUGUAUAAAAUUAAUAAGGUGUUUGGUUUGCAAUUUAGAAACCCGCAUAACUAACACAUGUAUAAGCUACGCUGGAAUCAUGAUAGAAGGUGGAACAAUUAAUACAUAAAUAACUAAACACGAAAUAAAAUAAUAAUUCCUCAUAACUAAUCCUUGAAUUACUAAUACCUACAUAACGCUAACUAGCUAUCAAACGACCCUUACUGCAGAAAAGCACAUAAAAAUACUGCAGAAAUUAGCACUUAAACAAUGAACUUACCGAAUGAAAACAACACAGAAAGUAAGACGAAGUGGUAACUUCAAGAAGAUGAAAAAAGAGGAAACUUUGGCAAGUAGAAAAUACCUGGGAAGCAGGAGUAUCUUGGGGUUGAGAAGGAGGUGUAAAAAGAGGAAAUGAAGAAGGAGAGGGAGAAGAAUCAUAGGCCUCCAAAGUGGAAGAAGUAGCAGCACCAUUAGCACUUGCACAAACUCUCAAAUGUCUGCUUCUCUUGUUACUAUUACAUACUAAAAUGGGGUGCUUCUGCAAUCCAUGCUGCACACCUCCUCUCCAUAACUGGUUCAAUCAACAAAAUAUCAACACACAAAAAAUUAAAAAAAGAAAAAGAUUCAUUCUUGGAUCAACUCUGGGUGGUGGAAGAAGUUGGUUGGUUGCUGAAUUAGAAUGGUGGAAGAAACCAUUCCUAAAAAUUUAGUGGAAUUUGAGUAUAGAAACUAUUGUUUUAUAUGGAAAUUUGGGUUCUUGAAAACGUUAUCCACUUUACUGUCAGCAAAACAACUGAGAUAGAAUGCUAGGGGUUUUUCCGGGGUUUAUUAGUACUACUUUUUUUCCUAUUUUAUUCCAUACUGCUAAUUAAUUUCUAGGGAAUUUUAUAUACGUAAUUUUUUAUUUACAGUUGAUACCUGAAGUGAGGGGAUAAAAGAAUAGUUGACCGAAUGAGGUUUUAAAAUGUGUUGUCACGGUGGUCCUCAAAAGAAUCGAUGAUGUCGAAACAACACUUCCACUGUGAAAUUGGUGGACGUACAUAUCCAUCAUUAUAUAAAGGAUAAAAUAUUGCACGUACAAAUUUACAUUCACAUUGAUGAAUCAUAUCUUUCAAAUCGUAGUUGUUUUCUAUCACAUCAUUUUGAGCACAGUUUUAUCACAACGUUGCUCUAAGAACCGUGUUCAAUUAACUGACAUGAUCAAAACCAAAAAUUCACUUCUCAAUAAUUAACCCUUCACAGUUUAACAGUAAUAAUUUCAUGAUUUAGUCCCCAAAUUUUUGACGGCAUAAACUCAUUUGGAUAUGAAAUCUCUUUCGUAUUUUUCCUUUACAUUACUAUCAAGAAAUCAUAUGAGGGAUAAUAAAGGAGCUAUCAUCCUCCUGGAUUUGCAAAGAAAAUGGUACUUAUUUAUACUAAUGUAUUGUGCAAAGCAUAGUCGUUCAAAUCAUCUGAAAAGAUCAAAGGAUUUAUACAUCUCAUUCCAACUAAUUUAGGACCAAGACUCAGCUGAUCAACAAAUAUAUCAAUGUUGGACAACAUUCAUUCAUCAGACCAAUAUCUGUUAUGGGGCAACUGCAGUGAUUUUCAGGCCACGCACCGAAAAAUCAAGAACUCAUCCAAUUUUUGCAGAGACCUGACUGAAGAAUUUCGACCAUUUCCACCACCAACUCCACUAUAGUAUCACAUACAAGAUUAUUACCAUAUGACAUGACAUAUUUCUGAGUCUCCAAAAUGAAUGACCAAAUCAUCAACAUCGAAGACGACGAAGGAAACAAUCUGGCUCAACAAGAUCACUAUACACUAUUCACUAGGUAGCUGUAUCCUUUCAGCAGUGUAGGGACCGGAUAACUCUACCACAAGGGUUUAGGCAGAAGGAAGAAACCACCCAACUAUUUUGCCUCUUUUUCAGAUUUGAACCUCAGUCUCCCAUGGACUUUACUCCAACUUCAUCUACUAGGCCAUAUCCUCCAAAGACAAAUAUCUCUACGAAGGAAGAGAAGAAAAACAAAGAGAACUAGAGGUCCUAUAACAAGAAAGCGCCAGUGCUCCAGAAUUAAACUUACUCAUAAAUCACAUAGCUUCAGACAAACAAGUAGUCCUCCUGGUCAAAUUUAUUGUAAAAUUUACCACGUGCAAAAGGAAAUUAAAGUAAGCAACAAAUACGAGUUCAUUAACAACAUCUAGAAGUUCUUAAAACUACAACAGAAACCAAAGGUUAACACAAGUGAUGUCCAUCUAAGUCACAGCUACACCAAGAAGAAUAAACUAAUAAAAACUUCUACCUUAUCUAUGCAAAAUAGGAAAAAUAGAGAAAUCAGCUCUAAACACAUUAAAGAGGUACUGAUGUCAACUUCAACAGAGAGAAGUCCCAUGUAGCUAGAUGACAAAAAUAACCACUGGUGUCUCCAUUUAGUGUGAAAUGAAUGAGCUAAGGACAUAGGGAACUCAAGCCUGCAUCAGAAAUGUGCUUCUGUCCAAAGGUUAAAUUACGUCAAGUGAAGCUGGUUCUCCUAGAAACUUUUUUGCACAGCUAAUGAAACUAAAACCCAAAGAAUGUCCAGUUCAUCUUUUGCUUAAUGUGCAAAUGUUUAAGAACACAGAGAUGCCUGGAAACUAAGAGAGGGCUAUAUAAAAGAGACAAGUCUCAUCAAGUUUCAAGCUUUGUGUACAACGAGCAAGGAGUCAUAAUAAGCAUACUCUUCUACUGGUUCCUGUAAGUAUUUUCAAACCAGCUAUGCAUAUUUCUGUAUUUGCCUCCUCCUUUAAGUGUUGCCCAUUAUUCCCUUUAUCCACAAGAUUCAAAAUUCCGCUCCAUUGUCUUGGUCUUAUGAUUAGAUAAGUUACUACAAUUCAAACUUUUAGAGACAAUGAAGAUUUUUGCAGCAUAUUUAUGCUAUUUUGUGCUUCUGAGUUCUGCUCAAAAUAUCCAGCAUCACCAUACACUUCCAGCCACCAAACAGCCAAUGGUGGUGAGAGAGACAGGUUCUUAUGCAACAAACCUGUUUACAACCUCACAGGCACUUAGAAGUGCAUCUAAUUAACAACUGAACUAAAAACUACAAUUGUGGUGAGGGGACAGGAUACUGAAGGUAUGUAACACAUUCCAAGCUUGAUGGUUAGUCAAACAGACAUGUACAUUUCAAUGGUGAAAGAUAAUAAAACACUUGUAAAGCAUUUUCAAAGAUUAAACCUCUGAUGAUAAAGAAAGUGAAAUUGAACAAAAUAGAGGAGCAAAAACAGUAUGACAUAACUAUCCAUAAUAGGCAUAGAAAAAUAAACAAAGGUAUGCAGAGCAUUAUGCAAGAACAAAAAUAGACAAUAUGACUAUCAGUAAAAAGCUAGUACUGAAAAUGGGCAUUGAAGCUAUAAACAUUAGUUUAUUAGACUAAAAUCUGAUAUUCUCUACAAUAUGACGGAGGAAAUCUGCGCAAAUUUAACUGAUAAUUCAAGAAUGCAAUGCCUAGCAACACAAUUCGACACUGCCAACUUGAGUGAGCUCGUAAUUCAGAAGUGCAAUUACAAUGAUUCAUGCAAAUACUGUAAAAUUGCUCAUUUUUCAGUUCAUUUUAAUCUUCUCCUACAAGAUAGACAGUAGCACCAGUACAACACAAAUAGCAUUAGCCACGAAUAGUCUCACUCAUCAUUAUCCAAAUUAGUUACCUUCUACUCUCUAUUCAAUCCAAUUUGAGAUUAUACCAUCCAACAAAACAACCACUUCCUCAUUUCCCUUAUCACCAUUCUCAACGUCCUUCAAAGCUUCAUUCACCUCUUGAGCCUCCCUAAUCCUAGCCUCCCUCAAAAGACCUCUAUACACCCACAUCCUCACCUCAUCCCCAGCCUUCAACUUCCCAACUACCAUCAUCCUCAAAACCUUCAACCCCUCCACAACCAUAUCACUCUUGCAAAACCCAUUCACCAAAAUAGCACACAACCCAUAAUCCACAACACAAGGGAAAUCAUCUCUUGACACCCAAUGAAAAAUCUUUAAAGCUUUCUUACCCUCCCUUUCCCUAAAAUACAAAGAAACCAACAUUUUACAAAUGGGUAAUAAAAACGAUUGGGUCUUUGGGUUAUACUUAAGGCGGUUAAGGAAGUACAUGGGUUGUGUAAGGUCGGGUUCAAGAGAAAGUCUAUGAAUGAAAAUGGAAAGAGAGAGUGAUUCCAAAGAUGGGUUAGUUAGAAAAGCUGUAGUGAUGAGAUUAGCAGCUUCUUUGAGGUGAUUAGAAGAGCAUAAACGUGGGAUUAGUAGAUUGAUUUGUGUUAACUCUUCUUGAGUUAGAGAAGUUGAUGCAGUUGUGGGUGCUAUUUGGGUAUCAGAAGGAGUAGAAGAAGAAGAUGAUGUGAAAUGCAAAGAACGUGAGAGAAGGGAUGGUGAAGAAAGGAAACGUAGUCUUUGAAUUGACCUCAUGGUUCUUGAUGGAACUGAACUGAUUACAGAUUAUGAUGGAGCAACCAUUAAUGGUGUUAUUGGUGAUAGAAAUACUAGAAACAAUUUCUAGUGGAGAUAAUUUUGAUUAUUUUGAGAAGACUUCUCAUUUCAUUUUACUCGUCUUAAAUUUUUUAUUUUAUAUCUUUUUUUAUUUACAGAAAAGGAUUAAAAAUACCUUUUCAAUAUUAAAAUUAAAUAAAAAAUACCCCUAUUAAAUUAUUGGGUCAAAAAUAUCCUUCAAAUAUUAAAAAUAAUUUAAAAAUACCCUUCCAUCCACCUUUAUAGCUCAAAAACGAUUUUUAAAAAUUAUAAUUAAAAAUUCAAAACAUGGUCAAAAAUACCCUUUAAGUAUUGAAAUUAGUUCAAAAAUAUCAUUCAUCCACCUUUAUGACUUAAAAAUACCCUUACAAUUAACGAUUUUCUUAAAUCAUAAAUAAUUUUUUUAAUAUACGUGGCAACUUUCACUUAGUUGAAACUAAAUUAAUUAAAAUGUUAUAUUCAAUCCGGCCUCAACUCAAGCUUUAAGAUGGGAUGGAUGAUUUUGAGUGGUAUAAGCUUUGUAAUUUAUUUUCUCUAUUUUGAUCAAGAAAGUUAUUUUUCUUAGUUUGAAAUUUAGAAUAAAUAUAUUUUUUAGGAAAAAUAUUUUUCAAAAUUUUUAGUCAAAUGAACAUUUUUUGUUCGCACUGAGCCCACCCUUAAAAGCUUGUAAUGAUUAGGUGAUACUUUUUUCUGGUAGUUCUAGUGUCGACAUAAGAGAUCAUGAUUAAUCAAAGUUUUACAUCAAAAUCUCUUACUUAUUUUUUUUCCACAAAUGACCUUAAAUAAUUAAUUAUCAUUUAACUCGUGUGGAAUUGAUAUAUAUUAUAUUCUUCGUUAUACAAUUUCCUAUUAUUUUAAUUCUCACCUGAAAUAUUAUACCAGUAGAUUGUGAUGAAUCUUUAUAAAGGGAAGAGAAUGUACUCAUUAGUUAUAUUCCCUGCCCCAGAAAAAGUAACAUGCAUCUUUAAGGUUAGAUUUUUACCAUAUUAUAGAACAGUAAUGUCAAAUAAUGAUACUGUAUAUCCUCUAUUUUAAUUUAUUUAUUUUAAUUAUUAUUUACAUAAAAUACUUUAAAUUAAUAAUUAUAUUAUAUAUUUUAAUAGUGCAAUUAUUUUAUGAACAUAAUUUUUAAUAUAUAAAUUUUAUUAUAAAAAAUUAAAAAUUUUAUAUUUAAAUUCACAUUAAAUAUUAAUUAGCUGUAUCAUUAUACUUCGAUAAAAAAAGAAACAAAGGAAUGGAUAAUAGUUACAAGAUUUGACAUUUGCAUGAAAGAGUAAAAUUACUGAAAGUACUGGUAUUUUAUUUACUAUAGAUAUUCUCCAUAAGCAAGAAUUAAAAAAUGCUUUCACAAAGUUUAUAUUGUCUCGUUUUGACGCUAUAUUAAAGCCUAACAUUAUUGACGUUGGGACAACCUUUAUACGUUUUGGAUCGGGUAGCUUGAGUUGGGGUUGGAUUGGAUAUCACAUUUUAAUUAAUUUAGUUUCAACCAAGUGAAAAGUGCCACGUAUUUUUUUUUAUAAAAAUUAUUUAUGAUUUAAGAAAAUCGUUAGUUGCAAGGGUAUUUUUGAGCCAUAAAGGUUGAUAGAUGAUAUUUUUUAACCAAUUUCAAUACUUAAAGGGUAUUUCUGACUCUUUUUUGAAUUUUUAAUUAUGAUUUUUAAAAACCGUUAGUUGCAAGGGUAUUUUUGAGCCUUAAAGGUGGAUGGAGGGGUAGUUUUGAACCAUUUUCAAUACUUGAAGCGCAUUUUUGGCCCAAUAAGUUAACGAAGGGUAUUUUUUAUCUAAUUUCAAUACUUGAAGGGUAUUUCUAACCCUUUUCCAUUUUACUUAUCAAGACAAGACAAUUUUUUUCCAUUAUACCCAUAGUGUAAUUAAUUAUUCCUUAUUAUUAGCAUUCUUAAAAAAUGUUGCAAAGAUAAGUACCAUUAAGAAUACACCAUUAAAAAUAUAAAUAGUGCUUUGGUAUUAGUCAUCUAUCAAUGUUGGAACUAACAACAAGACACAAUUAAGAGAGGCAAAAUGAUAAAAUUACAUUACCAAUCAUUAUUUUCUUAAUAGUUGUGUCGUCCCAAUGUGGGACGGGUAAAGUGGGACGGAGGAAGUAUUAGAUAAAAUAAUGGUGAUCUCUAAAUAUUAAUUGGAAAAAUAAGAUAAUUUUAUUUAAAAAAUGACAUUUAUUCCUUCCCUAUUUGCUUUGCAAUUUUAGUUGGAAAAUACUAAAAUUUAUGCUAUUUUAUCAUCCUAAAAACAAUUAAAGCAAAGGAUACAAUUGAAUGUGUAAUUAAUUUGAUGUACAAACGCUAAUGUUUGAAUUGUCGUGUUAUAAUUUUUCUUCAGUUGUCGAUUGAAGCAACCAUCUAACUUAUGUAUAGAUGGUUCCUAAUACUAUUAAUCAGAGGCUGAAUCAAAAUUUAAAUUAUGUGGUUCUAAAAUUAAAGAAGAGAGGCCUUAUAGUGGUUCAUCUAUCAUUGGGUCAAGCUAUAUUAUUUGUCAAUGAGUUCGCACUAUAUAAAUAUGUACAUAUAUUCAGAAUUUAAUAGUAUAAAUAUAGAAUCUACGUAAAAGUUAUUGAAUUCACCCGAACCCCCUCAAAAUACUGUAGUUCCGCCCCUGCUCCUGAUAUACCUUCUAGGCUAUAAAUAUAAUGUAAUUUCUUUUUUUCUCUAAAAAAUGGAAGAAUCUAUUAUUAGAUUUUACGGUCAUUAAUUUUGCAAUGAGAAGUACGAGACACCGUGAAGCUAGUGUUACUCUCUAAAACAUUUUCUAGCUCACCAAUAUGUUGUCUUUCAACUUAGCAAAAUAGCUUAGGAUACAGAUUUUGUAAAUAUAUUUUGAAUUUUAAUUGCUAUUGAUAAACUAUGUAUACAAUUUUCUUUAAUUAUUCUAAACAUUUUUUUUCGGCCAUUGUCUUACUAUUCAAUGUCAUUAAUAUAUUACUAGUUUAGUGUACGUGCGUUGCACGUGUAUCAAAUGUUUAAUAAUAAUAUUAUAUAAAAACAUUGCUAAAAAAUCACUAAAGAUAAAAAUUAGAUUUAAAUAGUUUACCUGGUUAUUUAUUCUAGAGACGUAGUUGAAGGUAGAUGAUCGGGAUCCGGAUUGAAAGUUAAGUCAACCCUGACUCGAAAUGCUAAACCUAGGAUCCAACCUUAAGUCGAGACCCGACUCUAAACCCUGAUUCGAGCCCUGAAUCCUAGCAUUUGACCUCGACUUGGUACUGUGGUCUUGACCCAACCCAACCUCGAUUCAAGAACAACUUUCGAUAUUAACUUGGGAUCCAACCACAAAAAAAAGCAAGAUCCGAUCUUGACCAGACUCCGGACCCUGGGUCUGACACUAAUCUUGACCUCGAUCUACGACCUAACUCUCAAUUAUCAACCCAUACUCACGGUCCAACCUCAAUCAAGAGUCAGGGUUAGGCAUUGAGUCGGGUGUCGAGGUUGGUCUUAUAUUAAGAGUCGAAUCUUAAAUUAGGAAUCGGGGUUGAGUUCCAACUUAGGAGUCAAAGUCGUAUAAUAUGUUGAGAGUUGAGGCUAGGUUUAUUUUGGAAUUAGGAGUUAGAUUCGGGUCACAAAUCGAGGGUCGGAGUUCGGUCCCUCAUCGGGAUUGAGGUUGGGGUCUUACGACCUAGGUUGGGAGUUGGAUCCCAAGUCGGGUGCAAAGUCGAGUCAAGUCUAGUGUCAGGAGUCGGCUCUCAAGAGACGAAGUUGGGAGUCUAGAGUCGAGGUUGAGUUCUGUAUCAAGAGUCAGAUUAGAAAUCUAGAGUCGGGGUCGUGUCCCAAGUUGAGAAUUGGGUCAGAGUUGGUUCUCGAGUUUGGAGUCAGGGUUAGGUCAGAGUUGAGAGUUGUGGUCAAAUCUUGGGAUUAUACGUGUUAGGUCCAACGUUAGGGUCAGGUCUAAGUUUGGGAGUCAAAGUCGAGUCCAGAUUGAGAGUUAAGGAAAUAGAGCCCGGGUCGAUAGUCAAAUCAUGAGUUGGUACCGAGAUCAGGUUUGAAAGUCGAGUCCUGGGUUGAGGUCAGAUCUUGAAUCUCAGGUCUAGGGUCGGGAGUCAGAUCUUUGAUUGGGUCGAGAGUCAAGUCUUGAGUUUAGGACUUGUAUCUCGGGUUGCGAUGGAGAGUCGAUUCUCGUGUUGGUUCAGGUAGUCGAGGGCUCAGGUUGGGUCCCGUAUCAUUAGUAUUUUUUCGUGUUAUACCUAAAUGUUCUUGGGACGAUAAAUUUUUCUUACUAACCAAAAAACAAAAAAUAAGUAAGAAAAUCAUUUAUUUUUCAAGAAAAUAUUUUUUAGAAAAAUAUUUUCCUUUGUACCAAACACACCCUAGGAAUAGAUCUAGGUUCUCUUAAAAAUUAUUCACUUUGUGUCUCCGACAAAUAGCUUUCAUUAUAUUUAAAUUUAUAUAAAUAUUUUUUAAAAUUAUAUCCGUAUUGAUAUGGGAUAAAAUAAAGGCUUUUUGUACAAAUAUUAUAUUAAAAUAUUGAAUUAAAGCUAUUAAAUAAAAAAAUAUAUUCCACACAUGAGUGUUGAUUCUAUAUACUUAAUUCAAUAAAAUAACCAAUUGCGUCCUAAAAAUUCUCAAUAUAUUAAACUAAAAUUUAUUUUAAUUUUAUAAUUCUAUCAUUUUAAACACACAAGUCAUCAUAUGCUUUUCUCAAUUAAUCAAUUUCAAGAUUUAGAUAUUAAAUAUUCCCUUGCAAUGCUUGUGUUGAGAGCAUAAUGCUAUAUCUUUAAUAUGUGAGGUACUAUAUUAUUUUUCCUUUCAUAUGAUUCGGAGUAUUAUCAUGAUGCACUCUCAAUCCAACAUAGGAAACUAAUGUUCCAUCAUCCUUAAGAAUUGUGCAUUCUACCUGAUCAAACAUCAUCAACUAAUAUGAGAAUUUUUACUUUUUAAGUGAAAAUUAAAAGUUUUAGCUCUUCAUUAAUAUAAAUAAAUUUUAAAAAAAAUUAAUUUAAAAGACUCUUUUCAAUUUUGAUAUUCAAACCAAGAAUACAAUCCUCUUGACGGAAGUUACAGUUGGUGGCAGCAAGAGCAUUUAUGGUGGAAAUUAUAUUUACUUUGUGAAACUUUACUCUAUAUCUUUUUCUUAUAGUCCGACUCAUUUAUCUUGACUACCUUGUUUAAUGAUUUGCAAAAUGUUGUAAUACAUUCCUGUAACAACGUAUAAUGGUUAUAAAAUCUUAAUCAGUUAGAUGAUUGCAUCUUCUGUUGCUUUAUGUCAAUUCGAACAAGUACUUAUGAAGUUGGAUUUUGUUAUAAAGUUGAGUGUUUCCUUGGGCUUUGUUUCAAAUUUCUCAAUCAAUGUGAUAAUAACAAUGAGAGUUGUAUGAAAAGCUGUAUUGAAUACUAUUGCACUAUAGGGAAAACUUAAGAAAAGCAUUAAUUUGCUCUAAGAAAUCAUGGCGACAAAGAAAGUGUUGUUCAUGAUAGAUGAUAUUAGUUUUAACAUAAAUACUUAUUUAAUGAAUCUAACAAAAUUAUACAUAUAAAUAAUUAAAAUUUAGUUCACUAAAUAUAACUUAAGAAUAUUAAAACAAGAUAAUUAUGAAGCAAAAUUAUGCAUAGCUCUCUCGACACAGUUCCUUGAAAAUUGUCAUAAAAAACACGAUUCACAUCAGAGUAUGUGUCAUCCACUUUUGAUUCCCUCACUACCAACUCAUAUCUUUGUUGUCUGGGAUCCCCCACUUGAGUCACAGAAUUAGCAUAAGCAAUGAAACCAAAUGUACUAGUAGAGUCCAACAAUAUUAGUGCUUCGUGUUCACUGUAUAAUCGAUCAGAGCCUUGAACUUGGAACUUAUUACAUAAUCAUUGUUCGUGUUCACUGUAUAAUCGUAGAAUAUGAAAACUUUUGUAAGGAUUCAAAAUGUUUGAAGCAUAUAAAAGUUUAUGGGAAACUUAUUUAUAAUCUUUAUAUUACAUAAGUUUAUAACAUGAAAAUCAUUGAAACUCUUGGAGAGUUUUCAAGAGCAAUAGAUUAUUUGCUGAAAUGAGAAAUAUAACAAUUUGAAUUGGUUAUGAAGUACCAUAUCUUAGUGCAAUUGGUGCACUCAUGUAUCUUGCAAUUACUAUAAGGCUUGAUAUAGCCUUUUCAGUUAAUUUGUUAGCAAGAUUGUAAUCCCGAUCUUAUUGGCCAUGCUAAUAUUGGGUACUUGUCUGAACCGUAUAAAUCUCGAUCUCAAAUAUGCAAUGUGUUCACAUGUGGGGAUAUGUAACACCCCGUAUUCAAAUACAUAUAUUGGCGUAUUCAAGUACGUGUAUUGGUCUUAUUUAUAUGGAAUUAAUUUUGUUUAAUUUUAUUUAUACCGGAAUUUGCCCGUCGAUGGUUCCAUAUGAAGGUUAUUGAAUAAGCUUUCCAACGAUAUAAAGAUUUCCAAAAACGGAUAGGUUUCGGAUAUAAUCGAGCACGUUCUAAACUAUAAAACGGUGGCCGGGAAAUUACGUGCAUUAGUCAUUGUUAUAUGUGUUGGGGUAUAUGUAUUGAUCCUAAGUUAGGUAUAUAUGAGUUUAAGUAUGAGUAUUGAUUAUUUUGAGAUGGUUUCAAGUGUAUAGUUUGAUUAUAGGUGUAUAGGAAUCGACUUUAUUUAUAUCGGAAUUUUCCCGUCGAUGGUUCCAUACGAAGGUUAUUGAAUAAGCUUUCCAACGAUAUAAAGAUUUCCAAAAACGGAUAAGUUUCGGAUAUAAGCGAGCUCGUUCGAAACUUUAAAACGGUGGCCGGGAUGUGAACAGUAAAAUGUGCAGGAAACUACUGAGGCCUGCCAGUUUUUUGGGUCAACUUUGAACGAUCAUAACUCCCUCAAUAUAAUGAACUGGUUGAGCUACCAUAUAUCAAAAGAAAGAUCUUUGAGUCUUCUUUCCAAUGAAAUUGGUUUCAUCCAAAUCCAACAUCUGAGUAAGGAGUUAUACUCGUUUUACUUCAGCCUCUCAAAACAGAUUUUUAGGGUCAACUUCAAACGAUCAUAACUACUUGUACAGGACGAACUGGGUGGAUUAAUUUAUAUUAAAUGAAAUACCUUUGAAUUAUCUUUCUAACGAUACCAAUUUCACCCAAAUCCGAUAUCGGAGCAAAGAGUUAUGGCCGAUUUACUUUAGCCUAUCAAAACAGUCCACCAUGGACAGAUUCGGAUUUACUUAAAUUUUUAAGGGCAAUAUGGUCAUUUUCCAUCACCUCAUGGACGAAAAUUGGUCAUUAUAUACAUAUACUUAGCCUUAUAUCCACCAUUUAUCAUCCAAAUCAUUGAAGAAUAAGAAACCCUAGCCUAAGUUCAACUCCAAUUAUCUUGUGAUUCAACCGUAGAAAAUCCAAAUUGAUUCCGUAGUUGUGUUCACCGUCUCAAGGGCUUCGAGAAGCACCCCUUAUUUGUGCCAACAGGACUUCGAAAUCAAAAGGGCCAUUUUUUUGGUAAGGAUGUAAAUUAUGUUGGUGUUAUUUAUAUGGAUAUGUAUAUAUAUAUAUAUGCAUGUGAGCAUAAGAAGUAUGUUAUUUGAUUGUUGUUGAAAGAUGAUUGGAAAUGAUGUUGGAUUAUUCUUGUGCAUGGUUGGAUUAUGUUAAAUUGUGAAGGAAUUUGGGGUGAUGAUGUGGUAUUGAUGAUGUGGUAUUGAAAUGAUGAUUAUAUAUAUAUACACACAUAAACCUAUUGUUCAAGUUGGUUUUUGGAAUGUUUUGCAAAUAUUGGUAGUAUGGAAUUAUGGAAGAGAAUUGUGGUGUUGGGUUGCUAAUACUAGAUGCCAAACAUUUCAUUGUAGAUAAGUGAUUUGUAAAGGCGGGAAGUUGUGUUGAAUUGGUAUCUGAAUCUACAACGAGGUAUGUAAAGCAUACUCUAACAAUGUUCUUUGGCAUGAAAACACCAAUGUUCCAUCAAGUAAGAUUCCGAGGUUGUCCAAAAACAUGUAUUGUUCUACGUUACCAACGAAGUUGUUUCCAUUCUAUAAAGUGUCAAAAUGUUUCAUUGAUAUACCAAAAGGCUCUUAUUUCAUUGUUGUGAUAUUGAUGAUUCUGAAACACAUUGUUGAUGUACCAAUGAGUCUUUAUUACAUCGUUAUUGUAUAGAAGGUCUAUUACUUGGUUCCUAUUGAUGUAUCAUUGUUUCAAAGUAUCAAAAAUGUGGUGGCGACCGAAAUAACAAUCUCAAAGAUUAAUUGAACUAAGUGAUGGGAGUUCUCUCUUAUCGGGUGGUAUCCCAGGGGCAUAAGCCUAGCAUGGGUCGAUCCCUAUUUCAUGUGUUUAUGGGUGGUAUCCCAGGGGCAUAAGCCUAGCAUGGGUCGAUCCCAGUUGAUAUGUACUGGAGGCAUCCUAAUGGUCACAGUACAGUACAGUAAUGAUUACAAAGACGAUAAGAACGAAGGUAAAGUGAUUGAAUAAAUACAAUGUACAGGUUGUCACAAGUUCUAGUAAGUGUGGUCCACUCCUAUUACGACUUAUUCACUUGUUUCUGAUUUCUAUUGAGCUCCUAUAUCAUAUGUGAUUAUUUACAGCUUUACAUACUCAGUACAUAUUUCGUACUGACGUCCCUCACGGGGGACCUGCAUUUCAUGCUGCAGGCACAGGUGCUUCAGCUCAUUCACAGCAUACAUAGGAGCCAGGUCAUACAGCUCUUGUUGGUGAGCUCCAGUUUGCUUCGGAGCUUUCCGAGUCGGUCCUUUAUGUUUUGUUAUUGUACAGGAGUCAUGUGUGGGCGGGGGGUUUGUCCCGACCCUAGUUAUGUCAUGUAUAUCCUAGAGGCUUUGUAGACAUAAGGAAGGGUAAAGUCAUGGAAGUUUAUAUAGUGAUGUUAUAUUUGUAUAUGUGGUGGCCCCGACGGCCAAGUAUUAUAUAUAUAUAUAUUUGUGCGUGUUGUGCUGAUACAGGUAAUUAGACCCUUCUAUAUGCAACGAAGUGCUGUCCAAAUUUUUGGUGACAUGUAAGUGAAAGUACAGGUAUUUGAACGGGUUCUCCCGGGCCUUCUCGGUUUCGGGUGUCAGUCCGGCCCGAUGGGAUUUUGGGGCGUGACAGGAUACUGUCAUAUCUUGGAGAUAUACAAAGCAGUCUAUCUAUCCACUUCAAUGAACCAUUCUGAGAUAAUAGAAUGUGUAUGACUGAGAUCCAUGAUACAUCUCAUUCGAGAAUAAUAUCGCUUGAAAUAUGACAAAGUAUCCACGAUUUUAUACGAAAAUAAUCCAGCAUGCAUAACACAACUUAAAAGAGGAUUCAUAAAAGGAGAUAGAACGAAGCACACUUCAUCAAAGUCUUUCUAUACACAUGAGUUACAAAAGAAUGGUGAUAUUAACGUGCAACAGAUUCAUUCGAGUGACAAUAUCACUGAUUUAUUCACCAAGUCUCUUUCAACUGCAACUUUCAAGAAGAUGGUGCACAAGAUCGGAAUGCAAAGAUUCAAGGAUGUUCUCAUUAGGGAGAGUUAAUACGCGUUGUAAUCUUUUUUCCUUACGAGGUUUUGUCCCACAGAGUUUUCCUUGUAAGGUUUUUAAUGAGGCAACCUAUAUGUGUAUGAUUAGAGAUGUGUACUCUUUUUCCUUCACUAAAUUUUUUUUCCUACUAAAUUUUUUCUAAUAUGAUUUUAACGAGGCACAUUAUCUUUUUUUUUUCUACUGGUUUUUUUCUAGUAAGGUUUUAACAAGGCACAUUAUCUAUCAAUUAGACAUUCAGGAGGGAGUGUUAUAAAUGUAUUUACAUUAUAAUGAAUGUCUAUCAAGAUCUAAAUGAUAUCUAUUAGGAUUUGAAGCAUUUGUCUUUUACUCACACUAGGAGUAACUUUUCCUUAUAAAUAGAAGGGCUCCUUCAUUGUAAAUUAAUCCCGCAAGAAUCCCUCAACAGAAAUAACAAUUACUCUCUAUAUUCUCUUUAUUCUUAGUUAUUUCAUAACACUUUGUGAUUUCAACUUCACUUAAAAUAAUAAUGAAUUGUGAAAUGCAUUUUUAAAAAUUAUCUAAAAAUAAUUUAAAAAAAAAAAAGAAAAGAAAAAAGUUCUCAUUUUUAGAAGAAAUAUUUUAGAACUUUAAACUAAACAACUCAAACUUUAUAUUAAUAAAUAAAGUUUUAACAACAAUAUCCAAAGUUAUGCAUUGCAAAUAAAUGACUAAUAUCUUAUUAACUAAAACUAAUAUUUACUUUUAUUAAUAAACAUAUUAAUAUGUGAAGUUAAAUGUUAUGUAUUUUUUAAAAAUACUAUACCAAAUAGUAUUUUUGUAUGUAUGUCUAUAUAUACAAGAUUCGUAUUAAAAUUUUACUUUAUGCCACUAAUUUUAUUGAGAUGAGAAGCCUAGCCUUUGCCUAAGUAAUUAUUACAAUUUGCAUAAAGCUAUGUGAAUGUGUUAUUUAUUAACCCGUAUCUCAUACAUAGCCACUUAUUGUGGUAUGGAGGUGCAUUAUCAUAACUGGUUUCGGCUCAUACAUAACAAUUAUCACUUGAUUCCUCUUUAUUAAAGAAGUAUCAUAACUGGUUUCGGCUCAUACAUAACAAUUAUCACUUGAUUCCUCUUUAUUAAAGAAGAAAGGAAGAGGACUUAUACACUCCAUAGGCGCCUCAAGUGAAGGGCAUUGAAGACAUUUUGCACUCUAAAGCUACACUCAAGAAGUGCUUUUUGGGAAUUUCAGACAAGAAAGUAGGAGAACUUAUACACUCCAUACACCUGAAGUGAAGGGCAUUGAAAACAUUUUGCAUAGCUACACUCAAGAGGCGUUUGGGAGUUUCAUUAAGGACAAUUAAGUCUUAUGUAAUAGUAUAAAUACAUAUUUUAACUCUUAUUUUCUUUAGUUUUGAGAUAAUGAAUUGAGUGACUUUUUAGAUUGUAAUUUUAGUGAUAGAUUGCAGUCUUCCUCUUCUCCUUAAGAGAGAGGGAAACCGAAAUUGAAUAUUGAAUAAGGAGAAGGAAAAUCGAAAUUGAAUAUUGAAUGCAAUUGAAAAAGGAUUUAACUUGUAUUGAAUAUUUGGUAAGAAAGGUGUGCUUGAGGAAGUGUGAGUCCUUUGGGUCACCUAAGAGAGUAGUUUGAUCUUACAUUGGUGAUGUGUGUUUGAAGGUUUGAUACACCUUCUAGUGCUAUUCAUUAGUAGAAGUGAGGGUCUCUACUAUCUUUACUUUAUGCAUCUCUUCUUCAUCUCUUUUCUUCUAUGUGUGUUGUUUUUCCUUUCGUGUGUUUGCUGAUUUUUGCCUUCUCUUUGUCUGCUCACUGUUCAGCAUAUUCUCUUUGUUGUAUUCAUUCAAACUUCUCUUUGUCAAUCAGUUUUAGUAUUUUACACAUUGAUAGGAAAGCUUCCUCAAACAUGAGAUCUCUUACUCUUGUCUCAUCUUUCAGAAACAAUUGGCGUCUGCUGUUGUUCCGAGUGUCAAAAGAAAAAAGUAGUUUAAGUUCUUGAUACUGGUCCCUGCUGAUGGAUAUACUUAACCUGUUGUCUAACUUAUUAGUACAACUUUUUAUGCAUGAUUUUUGCAUUCACAUCAUAAACAUUUGUGGAUGGCUUCUGGCUACAUGGAUUCUACUCUUAUGAGAUCAAUUCAAUUAAAUUUUGAUUUUAUAUACAUUUAUCAUUUGAUAGGAUGCCUUUGCCUUCAUGUUUAUACCCCACACUCUUAGCGAAGACCUACAUUUUGUCUUGACAGGGAUGGUGCUAGCUAACGUGAGAGGGAUCUACGUUAUACAAAAUACUUCGGUCUGAUAUAUGUGGACUUCAAGAAUGGGCUAAACCGACAUCUGAAAUCUUCUACUUACUGGUUCAUGAGAUUCUUGAAAGGUGGACAAGUUAAACAUGUUUAACUAACUUCUGGUGUUAUGGAGUCGGCAGCUUAUAUAUGUAUUUGCCUUUCUUUAUACUACUUUUGAGGCUUUUAUAUAAACAACUUCAUUGUUUUAUGAUGGUGUGCAUCAUGACUUCUCUUGUUUUGCUUCAGUUGAGUUGUCCAAUUUCAAUGUAAAACGACUAUUUCCUGUUCUUCUUCACAUGAAUAACACCUACACCACAGAUUAAUGAAGAUAAUAAUAAUAAUUAACUAAUAGUAGUAGAAGUUUUUAUAGUAAUAGUAGUACAUAAUAUGUGUAGCAGUAGAAAUAACAAUACCAAUAAAUACCGAAAUCUUAAUCUUCUCUUAAGCCACCACAAGGGGAUUUAAAAAAACAUAAGCUUAAUGUAUUCUAAGGGCCUCCAGAUGAGUACCUCCGCCAGAAAAUGAAAGCAUUUAUUGAAGCACCAAGAGAAAAGAGCAAACAAAUAUCAAAGAUCUACCUAAGGAAUAAAUCCAGUUCUCCAGCUACGUAGAAAAGAAAUAAGGUUACUUAUGCUCCUGUAUUUCAUGAUGAAAUUUUGAAGAUGAAUUUCACUUGACAGAUUGAUCAUAGUUUCUUCUUUCAUAUCUGGAAUAAAUUAUUUUUCACACAUAAUGAACAUGAACAAUAUAAAGGAAAUUUCAACUUCUCAAUCAUAAAUUAAAUAAAAUGUCAUGCUAACGAUAGAAAGUAAUUUUUCAUAGAUAGUAAAUUACGAUUCAAAUGAGUUAGUGAUGAAUUUUCCUAUUGAAAAAAGCAAAAGAGUAAUGAUAAAGUGUAGAGUCCAUAUAAAAUAUUUUUUCAUCUAAUUAUAAAAAGAAAUUCGACUUACAAGAUAUUAAGUACUAAACAGAAAUAUAAUUCACAUAUAUGCUCAGUUACAUCCUAUGUUCACAGAUUAUAGUCAUGUUUCCAAAUGAGAGCUUGCUUUGCGACCGUUGGGAAGAACUUUUCCAGAGAGAAUAGCAUUAGAUUUGCCCCUAAUUUAGUUUAUCAUGCUGCUUAGGACUUUUGCUAAAUAACAUAACAAACUCCCAAUGAAUCCCUUUCUUGAAGCAUAAAAGGGAUAAUAGUCCGAAAAAUACUUAUAUUUUGCUUAAAUUUGCAGUUGCGCAUACUGAACUUAUUUUAAAAAUGAAAUUAUUUGCUCCCCAGAUACUGAGGUGGCAACGUGAAUGCACACUCUCUUUGAGAGACUGAAAACGAAAAUUAUAUAUUAAAACUUUAUUUUUAAUAUUUUUAUACAUAAAUAUAUAUAAUUUCAAUUUAUUUUUUUUUAUUCAGUUUCUUUCUUCUUCUUUUCUCUCACAAAACUAAAAAGCUUCAAAAUUCAUCAAUGUUGUCUAAAAUUAAUCUCACAUCUUCUUCAUCGCCAACGAAUCUCAUCAAUUUCAUUUUCUUUUUUCUUUCAACAUAACACAUUUGCCAUGCUAGCUUUUGAUUAUUUUUUAUUUUAAUUUUCUUUUUCCUAUUCAUCAAUGUUCAAAUUAACAUUUUUAUGCUUUCAUGGCUUUACCUCAAAUCCAGCCUAUAACUUGCAAGCCCCAUUUAAAUUCUAGUAAUUUCUUAGUAAUCCCUCAAUCUAAUCAACCUAAUGUGUUUUCCUUCUAAAAAAUUUUGACCAAAAAAUGACAAGAAAAUAACAACUACUACUCACUCCAAAUACCAAAAAGCCCAAUUUCUACUCGGCAUUGUAUCAAACAUUUGUUGAGCAUAAUCUAACAUUCAUUUCUUCCAGAUAUUUUUCGAACUAUUAUCCCAAAGAUAAACGAAUACAAUUUCUACUGUAUAAGAAACUUACGAGGUAAGUACACAGUACAUGAUCUAUCAAAAAGCAACCUCGAACUGGAAAAAAAAUGUAAAGAAUCUGAGGAACAUCCUUCUCAGAAUAUUUUUGCUUCUCACUUCAAUCAAUUGGUAAUGAUUUUUCACACACGUCUAAAGAGUGUUCAAAACAAAACAAAUCAACCUAAAUACAUCUUACAAAUAGAUCAAAAAUGAUCUUUUCUUUUACUUGCGGUGUAUUUGCUAUCUGAAGGAACCACAUUCCCUUUUCUCCUCCUUUUGCUUUUUUCUAGGUCUGCUCCUGUCAGAUAUGCAAACCUGCACAGUACGGUGAAAUGAAAGUGGGUUGAUCAUAAGAUAGUAACAGAAGAAAGAGAAGAAAAUCCCAUGAUCAUAGGAUAAAAACAAAAAGAAUAUAAGCUUAUUUUAAGCACGAUUAGUUUGGAGCCCUGGGAUUACACCUUCACCCUUCCCUUCGCGAGUAGUGGUCAAUUUAGUCCAGGCCCGCCUCCCCUCACCUAGCCCGGACCCGGGACCACGCUCAGGUCCGAGACCGCCCCAGACCCGAGACCAGGCCCAGGUCCAGGCCCCCCUCCCCCCCGCAGGACCACGCCCAAGUCCGGACCCCCACCCCCUNNNNNNNNNNNNNNNNNNNNNNNNNNNNNNNNNNNNNNNNNNNNNNNNNNNNNNNNNNNNNNNNNNNNNNNNNNNNNNNNNNNNNNNNNNNNNNNNNNNNNNNNNNNNNNNNNNNNNNNNNNNNNNNNNNNNNNNNNNNNNNNNNNNNNNNNNNNNNNNNNNNNNNNNNNNNNNNNNNNNNNNNNNNNNNNNNNNNNNNNNNNNNNNNNNNNNNNNNNNNNNNNNNNNNNNNNNNNNNNNNNNNNNNNNNNNNNNNNNNNNNNNNNNNNNNNNNNNNNNNNNNNNNNNNNNNNNNNNNNNNNNNNNNNNNNNNNNNNNNNNNNNNNNNNNNNNNNNNNNNNNNNNNNNNNNNNNNNNNNNNNNNNNNNNNNNNNNNNNNNNNNNNNNNNNNNNNNNNNNNNNNNNNNNNNNNNNNNNNNNNNNNNNNNNNNNNNNNNNNNNNNNNNNNNNNNNNNNNNNNNNNNNNNNNNNNNNNNNNNNNNNNNNNNNNNNNNNNNNNNNNNNNNNNNNNNNNNNNNNNNNNNNNNNNNNNNNNNNNNNNNNNNNNNNNNNNNNNNNNNNNNNNNNNNNNNNNNNNNNNNNNNNNNNNNNNNNNNNNNNNNNNNNNNNNNNNNNNNNNNNNNNNNNNNNNNNNNNNNNNNNNNNNNNNNNNNNNNNNNNNNNNNNNNNNNNNNNNNNNNNNNNNNNNNNNNNNNNNNNNNNNNNNNNNNNNNNNNNNNNNNNNNNNNNNNNNNNNNNNNNNNNNNNNNNNNNNNNNNNNNNNNNNNNNNNNNNNNNNNNNNNNNNNNNNNNNNNNNNNNNNNNNNNNNNNNNNNNNNNNNNNNNNNNNNNNNNNNNNNNNNNNNNNNNNNNNNNNNNNNNNNNNNNNNNNNNNNNNNNGUCCUCCUCCCCGGUUUGGACCCGGGACCACGCCGAGCUCAAGGCCUCUCACCCCACCCCCACCCACCCACUCACCCUGCUAAGUAUUAGAGAACUAAUAUAAAAAUAUAAGAGUCUCACCUGCAUUAAUUUAACUGCAAAACUGGAUUUAGCUCCAUCAAUGCUUUCAAAUAAAGAUCCUAAAGAACAUAAUAGAUGAGAAGAAAAAUCAGAAACGCAUUGAAGCAUGUGAGGUAUUGAAAACUACAAGGAAGUCUAAGAAAAGAAGUCAGGAGAUUUGAUUUUGCAAUGGAUCUGUAGAUUAAUACUUACCAAAUAUGAAGUAAAUAUCAUCAACAAUCACUUCUUAUGCUAAGUUCUUCAAGUACAUCUGAGAAGGAUUCCCAGCAGAAUAAUUCCGCAUAGAAACUCAUGAGUUAAUCAUUCAGUCCUUUGUUUGCACUAAUAGUUCAACAUAGAAGGAAAUACCUUUCGUGCUUGUACACGGACUGUGAUGUCUAAGAGUUCAAACACAAACUUGCUACUUAGCUUUUCUCAUUAAUAGAACUUUUGAUGAUUAAGAAGUGAACAUGAUAACUUAUAGACUGGAAAGAUGCAAUCUUAAUGAACUUCUGCAGCAAAUAUUUACUGAACAAAAACAUUUCUUAUCAAUAAACCAGAUACUACUCAUAAUGAAAGGCUAAGAAGCAACAAUCUAUAAGAAAAAGUAGGUUGUAUGAAGCAUGAAUGUAUCUCAAAGCUCAUGAACGUAUCUCAAAACAUGGUGUCACUGACAAAUGAUAAUGGCAGCAGACGCUAAAGCAUAAUGCUAGAAACGAGCAACUGGGAAACUAUAUCUCACUGAUACCUCUUGGUUUGACAACAUAAACAGAAGUAAUUGCAUCAGUAUGGCCCUCUAGUAGAUGCGUACAAGAUCCAGCAGCCUUCUAUAUUCUGAUUAGCACUAUCAAAAGUUAGGUUGACACAAUAACCUUAAAAGAAAAGGCGAGUUCUAAACCAAAAAAUGCAAUUAGCAUAAGAAUAAACAAUCAGUAGGUUAUCAUCCAAAACCAUCAUAACAUCCAGUCAAAACAAACCUCAGAUCACAAAUAAGCACAUCUUGUCAGUUAAGGCAAUAGUGGAUUGUAUGCAAAGAAGACCUUUUUUACAUUCUUAAUUGUCACCAUGUAAUAUUUUAGGGGCAAAAGCACAUGGAGGAUGAAUUUUACCUCAAAACACUUGGAAAAAAAACAGCAUAACGUAAUAAUAUCAAAAACAUUGUCCUUAUUAAUCUAGUGUGUAAGAGAUAUGUAUGAGUGAAGUGAAUGCGCAACAGACCUGGAGUACAAGGUACAGAGAUCAAAUAUCCAGAGAAAUGAAACCAUUUCAUUUAGUCAUAUUAUGCUAGCUCUCUAUUUAUCUAUUUAUUUGGGGGUGGGGGGUGCGGCGGAUAAAACCAAUACAUUAAACAGAGAAUGAUAUACAAGGCAUUAAAAAUUACAAGGAUGACACUGAUAUUCUAGAUAAACAAACUUCACACUCAUGCUUACUUAGAAUUAGAACCAUCAACAGCACUAACCCAGCAUACUUAUCGAAGAAGAAGAGAAGUUCACUUACAUCGUUAAACAUUUUGAUAAUCUAUGAAGAAUAUUCGAGUGGAAAUUAAAGUGAGUUUAGAAGAUAUUUUUGGACGAAAAUUGAGGGAUAACUGGAGAAUGAGAAAGAGAAAGUACAAAGGGAAAAGGAUCAGAGUAGAGCUUUUUCAAAUUUAACCUAGAGAAGUUCUCUGUCUUCCAAGUAAACCUUACAGUCUGGGGACCUCCGAUUGCAGAUUUUCCCCAUCAUGUCAUGUUUCUACUGCUGCUAGCAAGUCAACAUGGAGAAACCAUCAGAUCAAAACCUCUAAAUCCAGCUGUAAAGAACAUAGACGUACAUAUUGGAUAAGCCAAUGUACAAUCAUCUAAGAUUUAGUUUAAUUUGAAAAUUGUAGCAACUUGAAAUGAAGAUGCAUGGCGUAAGCCCUGUGGUGAAGCUGCACUACACAACCUUUCUCAUUACCAUAUCUCCAACAACAUCAUCGAUAGCACAGUCGUCCAAAUGUUACAUAUGACUUUUGUCCACCAUCCUUUAGAUAUCCAAUGACGCAGAGAUGCACCACAUUAUUAAAGCUCAUCAAAACAUACCAAAGUGGCUCUGCACAACCAUUGUACUAAUAUUCCAAAAGGUUAAGUAAACAAAUCUCUUGUGAUUGCAAACUAUUAAACUAAAGAAUAAGUUAUUCAAGACAAUUAUUCACUUCCCAACAUUUCAUUGGACAACAAGCGAAUCUAAAAUGUGAACAUACUUACAUUAUCAGUCAACUUUCCAUAACAUGGAUCCUAUACCGCAAACUUAUAUUUUAAUAAAUUAACAUAUCAAUGCCUAGUUUAGCAUAGUUCAGACUCCAGACACAACAUUUAGUAAACAAAAGGAGUCAAAAUUAUCAGUUGUUUUAUUUCUCAUCCUUCAGUUAUUUCUGCCUGACUAGGCAUUCACGAGUGCCAAUGUAGCAUGAAUGAGUAUUUUUCCCUUUGAAUAACCUAUCAAGUAUCAACUGUAUAAACAUGGGAAAUGUUCCACUAAUCCUAUAUACGCCAUUCUUGAAAUAGUAAAACACAAAUAAAUUGCUUCUUUUUCUUCCUCACAUUUCUUCUUUUUUCUUUUGAGAAAGGUAAAAUACUUCCUCGUGUUUCUUAUUACCUUUUAGUAUCCCCUUUGAAUAACAUAUCAACCGUAUAAACAUGGGAAAUUUUCUACUAAUCCUAUAGUCCCAAUUCUUGAAAGAGUAAAACACAUUGCUUCUUUUUUUCCCUCGCAUUUCUUAUUACCUUUGAAUAACCCAUCAACAGUAUAGACAUGGGAAAUGUUCUGCUAAUCCUGUAUGCCACAUUCCCGAAAUAGUAAAACACAAACACACUGCUACUUUUUUUCUCAAAUUUCUUGUUACCUUUGAAUAACCUAUCAACUGUCUAAACAUAGGAAAUGUUCUACUAAUCCUAUAGUGCCCAUUCUCGAAAUAGUAAAACACAAACACAUUGCUUCUUUUUUUCCCCCUCAAAUUUCUUAAAUCCUAUAGUCCCCAUUCUUUAAAUUGUAAAACACAAACACAAUGCUUCUUUUUCUUCCUCACAUUUCUUAUUACCUUUGAAUAACCUCUCAACUGUAUAAACAUGGGAAUUGUUAACUUAUCCUUUAGUCCACAUUCUUGAAAUAGUAAAACACAAACACAGUGCUUCUUUUUCUUCCUUGCAUUUCAUAUUACCUUUGAAUAAUAUAUCAACUGUAUAAACAUAGAAAAUGUUCUACUGCUCAUAUAGUCCACAUUCUCGAAAUAGUAAAAAACAAAUACAUUGCUUCUUCUUCCUCGCAUUUCUUAAUUGAUACAAACACUUCCUGACGUUUCUUAUUACCUCUGAGUAUGCCCUUUGAAUAACUCUAUCAACUGUAUAAACAUGUGAAAUGUUCUAAUAAUCAUAUAGUCCACAUUCUUGAAAUAGUAAAACAAAAACACGCUGCUUUCAUUUCUUUCUCAGUUUCUUUGAGAAAGGUAAAAUACUUCCUCCGUUCUCGAAAUAGUAAAACAGAAACAGAUUCCUUCUUUUUCUUCAUCACAUUUCUUUUUUUUUGUUUUGUUUUUAGAAAUGUAGAAUACUUCCGCACACUUCUUAUUUCAUUUGAAUAACCUAUCAACUGUAUAAACAUGUGAAAUGUCCACAUUCCUCAAACAGUAAAACACAAACACAUUGCUGCUGCUUCUUCCUCACAUUUCUUAAUUGAUACAAAUAAUUCCUCGUGUUUCUUAUUAUCUCUGAGUGUCCCCUUUGAAUAACCCUAUCAACUGUAUAAACAUGCGAAAUGUUCUACUAAUCAUAUAAUCCAUAUUCUCAAAAUAGUAAAAUACAAACAGAUUGCUACUUCUUUUUCCUCGCAUUUGUUAAAUAAUACAAAAAAAAAAAAAACGCUUAAUUAAUUACCUUCCUUAGGCUGAGGACCUUCUCAUCAGACAAAUCAGAACGUGGAAGACAUCUCCUCAUCUUCUCGCUACUCCGACAUAAACACACGAGAAAAAAAAAACAGUUACAAAAAUUCACAAAGUACAAAACCCUAAAAUUAACAAAGAAUUAGUAACAAUUGUAAGGCAAUUCAAUUGUAAGAAUUAUUAUACUUAAACCGUUAAACGUUUUGAUAAUUGAUGAAGAAUAUUCGAGCGGAAAUUGAAGUGAAUUUAGAAGAUGCUUUUGGAAGAAAAUGGCCCGUGAAAAUUGAGAGAUCAACUGGAGAACGAGAAAGAGAAAGUAUAUAUAGAGGGAAAAUGGAAAUGAUAGAUCCUCCAAGUUUCUAAUUAAGAAAAGGUAAUAAGUGGUCCGGCAAAUAAAUUAAGUCAUUGAGGCAGUUAUUCCAUAAUUAUAUUAGUUAUUUGAACAACUUCUUUCAUUUGUCAAAUAACUAUGUUUAGUUGUUCAAACAGCUGCGUUCAAUUGUUGAAUAAUUUAUGCAGUUGUUGAAUAAUUUUAUAAAAUUAUCGAACAACUAUCAAAGUUGUUCUACAACUGAAAUAAGUUGUUGAAAACAAAAAAAUCUUAAAAAAAAAAAAAACUCAAAAAGGAUUUGUCCAUCCCACCUAAUUUUAAAAAUUUGAAUGACUCCCACUUAAUUGGAUAACUUGUUCGUCCUUUUUAAUCCAAAGUCCCCUGCUAUAGUAGUAAGAUGGAACAAUGGGAGGGUAGUUUAGUCAUUUAAGAAUAAUCUUUUACGUAUUUUUUUAACGGUCAAAUUUUUCCUAUUUUUAGCCUUUGAUGUGGACCGUUGGAUGCAAUUGAUUGAGCUGUUACUGAGCGUUGGAUGUUGUAUGUAAUAAUCUGUUGGCUUGCCCCCUAGUGUAUCAUUUAGAAUUUACUCCUAAUUCUUCAAAAUUAUGUAAAUAUAAGGACAUGUGAAUGUGGUAUAAUAAUUUUUAUAAGAUUUUCCAAUUUUGUUAAAAAGAAUUUUUAGAUUAUGAUUAAAAAAUUCAUAAUUGUAAUAGGAAUAAAAUUUGUCAUUUACUAAAUGAUUAUAUGGUUUAUAUCAAAAAGAGCUAAUCAGCAAAAAAAUUUUAGUAAUAACCGGUCUAUUACUAUUAUUAGUGUAACUGCAUAUGCCCCGCACAUAUAAUAUUUGAUUAUUUAAAGUUAAAUAAUUUUAUUUUUUGUGAAGUUUUUUAAUAAAGUGUAAAAAAUUUAAAUCCGUUAUAAAAUAAGAAAGAAUAAAGAAUAAAAUAAGAAAGAAUAAAGAAGAGUAGAGAGAAUAGAGAGAGUAGUUCUUAUUUCUUCUUUUGAGGGAUGAGAGAUCAUCAGGUUGUAUAUACAAUGAACAAAAACUCUCUAUUUAUAGAGAAAAUUUACUCCUAAUCUGAGUAAAAGACGGAUGCUUCAAAUCCUAAUAGAUAUCAAAGUAGAUUUUGAUAGAUCUUGAUAGACAUUCACUAUAAUGUAAACACAUUUAUAACUCUUCCCCUUGAAUGUCUAAUUGGUAGAUAAUGUGCCUCGUUAAAACCUUACUAGAAAAAAUCCAGUAGGAAAAAAAUCUAGUGAAGGAAAAAGAGUACAUAUCUCUAAUAAUACGCAUUUCGGCUGCCUUAUUAAAAACCUUACAAGGAAACCCAGUGAGACAAAACCUCGUAAGGAAAAAAAAGUACAGCGCGUAUUAACUCCCCCUAAUGAGAACAUCAUUGAACCUCUGCAUCCCGAUCUUGUGCGUCAUCUUCUUAAAAGUUGUAAUUGGAGAAGACUUGAUAAAUAAAUCAGUCACAUUGUCAGUUGAACGAAUUUGUUGCACGUUAAUAUCAUCAUUCUUUUGUAGCUCAUGUAUGUAGAAAAGUUUUGGCAAAAUGUGCUUCGUUCUAUCUCCAUUUACGAAUCUCUCUUAAGAUGUGCUAUGUAUGCUGAAUUAUCUCUGUAUAAAAUUGUUGGUAGAUUGUCAUAUUUCACACCACAUUUUUCUCGAAUGAGAUGUAUCAUGGACCUCAAUCAUACACAUUCUCGGCUUGCUUCAUGAAUAGUUAUUAUCUCAGCAUGAUUCGAUGAAGUGGCUACGAUAGACUGCUUUGUAUAUUUCCAAGAUAUGACAGUAUCCCCACGUGUGAACACAUUGUAUGUUUGAGACCGAGAUUUAUGCUGGUUAGAUGAGUACCCAACAUCAGCAUGACCAGUAAGAUCGGGGCUGCAAUAUUUAGAAUAAAAUAAACUCAUGUAUCUUAUUCCAUUUCGAUAUCUCCUAGUAGAAGUAGAAAUAUAUCUUGCUAACAAAUUGAGCGAAAAGCUAUAUUGGGUCUUGUAGUUUUUUACAAGAUAUAUGAGUGCACCAAUUGUACUAAGAUAUGGUAUCAUAACCAAUCCAAAUCGGUAUAUUUCUCAUUUCAGCAAAUAAUCUUAUUACUUUUGAAAACUCUCCAAGAAUUUUAAUAAUUUUCAAGCUAUAAGCUUAUACAAUAUAAGGAUUAUCAAUAAGUUUCCUAGAAAGUUUUAUAUUUUGAAUCCUUAAAUAAGUUUUCAUACAAAUUUUGUCGGAGUGAUAAUAUUCAACAUUUUAUGUGUGACAUGCAUCUUCAAGUGUCUGGACUGCAAAUCAAAUAAGUUUUCACUUACCAAGAUGCAUCCUUUCAUGUCACUUAAUAAAUGUUUCUAUGUCAGCAUGCUUAAAUUAAUGUAGAAUUAAGAUCCUCGUAAUCUUUCACAAUAUUGCGUCAAUAUUGUGUCAAAGAUAUUGAUGAUGUAUCAUUUAGUAUCGGUUCACAAUGCGACAUAACAUUUUGAGAUCUCAUCACUUCAUUAUUUUCAGGUACAUGAACAUCUCAUAAGGUUUCAUGAAGUGUUAUGUCAUAGGCUCUUCAAGAGUUCAUUGCCUUCUUAUUAUAAUUAUUUGCUCCUUAUUUUUCAAGAAUUAUUUCAUUUGAAAUCGAUUAGUCUAUCACAUUUCACGCAUACAUAGACUUUGUCCUUUAAGAACACAAAAUAAGAGCACUUGCGCUUAAUAUGAGAUGCUUUCGACAUUUGACUUGAAUUAUCUUUUGAAUGAGGAUUUGAUGAUAAUUCCUAACAUACUUCAUAGCUGCUUAUAAUCUCCCCCUUAUGCUAGGAAAGCUAACAUACAUCCUCCAUUUUCUUUGAUGCAUCUAUCUUUGUGCAUCAUGGUACAUUCAUUAAUCGUAUAUCGCACAUCAAAACUAUUAGAUAGAAUAGUUGGUUCAUGACCUUGAACCAAUUGAGGGGAAGAAAUAAUCAUAAUUUAUUGGUCUAAUGCAUACAAGUGUUAUUGUAUGCAACAUGUCAUAUUUCAGAUCAACACAUGAAGCUUUGUUCUCAUUAGCGAUGGUUUAGCUAUUUAUCGAAGGCAUUCAAUGCCAAACCAUCAUCAUCAAGAUAACUUUCUUGAUUGCACAAUAUGAAAAUUAUGUUCCUUAACUCAAUUUGUUGAGCAAACAACUUUAUGAAUGUCAAACUGCAGGUUGACAAUGAAUGUACAUGUGAUCAUCUUAUUGAUGCAUCAUUUUAACAUAUCACAUGAUAGAUGAACGGGCUCUUAUUCGCCUUUUAAAAUUUCCAAAUUUGAAGGGAUCCAAUCCCAAUAUUAGUUAGUCCAACCAACUUAUCAUGAGAACAAACGACAUAAACAAUUUUUGAAGAAUCUUCUAGUUCUUCAAUAAAUGCACAUCUUUGAGAUGUCACAAUCGUUCAUAUCAAUUCAUGAACUUUUAUUCUAGUAAACUCCAAGUUUACCAUGACAUGUACUUUUUCUUUAGUAAAUUUCAGAUUUACUAUUACAUGAAUAAAUUUUAAAUUUAGUACAUCAGAAGUAGAUUUCAAAAUUAUUCAACCUCUUUCGGAGGUGAGUUGUGAUACAAUCACAAUCAAGUUCACAUUUGCAUUAAUAAGUUUCUCAUUCCCUAUAAAUGGAAUAUAAUCGUGCCUUAAGCCUAUCAAAUUAUGAUAGCUUAUAACCUCUUUCAAGAUUUUGCUACUUCAAAAACAAACCGAGGCAUACAUAUGAUGUAGAGAAUUUUUCUCUAGCAUAUCUUAUAAUCAUAUAAGCGUGUGAAAAUAUUUGAUGAUCAUUAUUAUAUUCGUGCAUUCAAUCACUUAUCUUCUUUCAGACAUAUUAUGCACUGCUACCACAUACACCUCAAGAAUGAAGUAAGUUGUCAUAUUUCAAACUCAUCAUAUAUUGCUACCACAUUCACUUCAUGGAAUGGAGCAUAUUCAAUGGGUCGAAUUUCAUAACUUUUCACCCAAUACCCAUUAUUUUGUCUUAGCCAUCACAAUAUCAUCAAGGGAAAAGGCAUCGUUUCUACCCCAAACUAUACCCGAAAAGUCGAAGCCACGCCUAAACUAUACUAGUGACCUAUUACACACCUAAACUAUAAAAAAGUGAAACCAUUUACACCCUGUCAGGCUACCACCACUUGCAUGUGGUGUAGUGUUUUACACGCGCUGCCACGUCAGCACUACGUCAGUAAAAAGUAUCACUUUUUUAUAGUUAAGGUGUGUAAUAGGUCACUUAUAUAGUUUAGGUGUGGAUUCGACUUUUCAACUAUAGUUUGGGGUGGAAACAAUGACUUUUCCCAUAAUGUUUUUAGUCGUUUACUUUUGUUAUUUAAUAGGCUGGACGCGCCUAAAAUAAGUGUAAUACACGCCUUAUAAUGGGGGUUGCGGGGAGGUAAUAAUAUUUAUUUUUUAUAGUUAAGGUGUUUAAUAGGUCACUAGUAUAGUUUAGGUGUGACUUAGACUUUUCGGGUAUAGUUUAGGGUGAAAAUGAUGCCUUUUCCCUAUCAUCAAUAUGGUGUAUUGAGAUUCAAACUCAAUAUUUUAUCCAUAUAAAGGCGUCUUAGGCAUAAAUCAAUGGAACUUGAACCCAAAUAUUACUAUCCCUUUUGAUAAUAUUCUUCUUGAGGAAUGAAUUUAAAACAUAAAUGGUUCCAAACUAAUUAUUUUUCCUCAAAUCCAACAAUAAUUAUAUCAUUAAUAGAAAAAUACGAAUAACAUAAGGAAUUACUAACCUUGACCUUUAGAUUUAUAAUCUCACCUUAUUGGACAGAGUCUCGUGCUGAUAACGUAUUAUGAAAUAAGAAAGAAUAAAGAAGAAGAGUAGAGAGAAUAGAGAGAGUGGUUCUUAUUUCUUCUCUUGAGGGAUGAGAGAUCAUCAGGUUGUAAAUACAAUGAACAAACCCCCUCUAUUUAUAGGGGAAAUUUACUCAUAGUCUAAGUAAAAGACGGAUGCUUCAAAUCCUAAUAGAUAUCAAAGUAGAUCUUGAUAGAUCUUGAUAGACAUUCACUAUAAUGUAAAUACAUUUAUAACAAAAUCACUUUUCAAAGAUCCAUUGCAUUUUAAUACGAUAAUGUAAACAUAAAUAAAUAUUUUAGUAUAAGCAUAUGUAUAUUUUACCACCACAAGUUCCAAAUGAUUGAUGGAUAUCACUUUUACGUUUGUAAAUUGAUCAUAAAUUCAGCCUUAUUCGUUUUGCAUUUGUUCUAGAACCUAGACUAAAGCCUCAUUUGUAAUUAUUAAUAUUCAGACAUCAAAAUUCUAAAUACAUAUCUGAAUAUUAUGUUUCAUUAACUGUUGAAUGAACCCUCGAUCACCUGUGGUACCCAAUAUUGAACAAAUGACGCUCAUCUUGAUUGUGCUCUUCAAAAUCAUUAAUUUUAUCAUUGAUGCCAUGACGUCCCUUGAUGUCUCGUUCAAUGUGUACGUCAAACAUCUGCUCCCCUUCCUAUGCAUUGUUCAAACAUGCAUUUAAAGUGUAUUAAAUACGUGUAAUGCAAAACUAAACAUUCAUAUAAUGCAAUCGCAAAAACUAAAGGAAAAUGUCAGAAACAUAAAACUAAAAAGUUACCUUCAAAUUCAGAUUUUCAGGCUGCCUCCAGACAACAACUUAAUUUCAUUUAAUAUUUUCUCAAAAUAUAUGGUUAUAACAUUCUUCAUAGCUAAAAAUAAAUCAUCAACCUAACUAACUAACAACAAUAUCAACAUACUCAGUUUGGUCCCAUGGGGCAAAGAAGUUGUUUUUAAUAAACCAUUGGCUCAAGUAGAACAUAUUGAAAUCAAGUAUCCAAGAAGCAAAAGUUUGUAUUUUUACUGCAGAAAGUUGUGGAGCGAAGAAAAGGGAGGUCUCUAUUUAGCAAAGAUGAACAUGAAUGUGUACAUUAUUAUAGUUGGUUCUGCAACACCUAGGAUCAACAAAGGUUGAACCAAUGAUGGAGUGUAUAAUUCCAAAAAAAUUGCAGUGAAUGCUAAUUUUUACGGCAGGUAGAAUUUAAUCUGUAGGUGUUAUAAGAAUUUCAUACACAUUAAACAAUUUAUGAAUUUCUAGGUCCAAAGAUAAUUGAAACAAAUUCACCUUGCAUCUUUCAAUGAUCAUAAACUUAUGUAGCAAUAAACAACUAAGACAUAAACUAUCAGAAAAUUCAUGUUAUCUUACAACUCCACAUAAUAAUACAUAGAAUUUCAUCCAAACUCUUUCUAAAAUAUACUAAUGAAUAAUGAAUGAAAAGAAAGUACCUCAAAGUUUACAUAAUCUUCUAAUGCCUUUGUCCAAUUGAAAUAACCCCAAUGUAUUUUUGUUUGAAGACGCUACUUCUAUUGAUUUUUUAUAAAAUCUAUACUGCAAACUAAAAAUACUAACAAUUCUCACUUUUGCGCUAUUAAUAUGUAGAGAAAUACAUGUCCAAAACAAAUAGACAUAACAUAUCCGAGCGGCAUAAAUGGCUAACCAAUACAUGGUACAUGCACAACUAUGCAAGCAAAGCAAAAAAUAGAAUGAGGAUCUUUGUUCGUCAUUCCCGUCUACACACAAAAACAUACAAUCAAUUAAACAUGAUACACAACUAUUCAAGCAAAACACAAUAUAGAUUUAUAAAAUUGAAUCAGAAUUUAUUCAAUCAUUAAGAGAUACUCCUCAUUUAUAAUCAAAUAAUGAGUCCUACUACGUUUGUGAAAUUUUAUUUGGUCCAUCCUUAAUUUAUAAAAGUCGAAAAUCUCUAUAGAAAGAAUUUACCUAAAUAUGAUAGAUUUUUCUUCUUUUUUUGAAAGAAAAAAAGCAAAAAAUAUUUCUGGUAAUUUUCUUUAUUUACUUAAAUUUUAAGAUAUUAACAUAGUACUUCAAGAUUUCUACUAUGACAUUAGUAGUUGGGUCUACUGGAUUUGAAAAAAAAACAAAAAAAACAUGAACCUAAAAACAAAUCCUUCACUUCUAAACCUAACAUUAAUAUCGUUCUAAAAAUGCCACCGACCCCUAAAUUUUACUUAAAAUAAAACUGUAACAUUUAUGACAUUAUUUGAAUUUCAAUUAUUAUACUUGAUAAUUAAAAGAUAAUUAUUUAAGAAAAUUAGUAUAAAGAUGAUUUUAUCUAUUACAGAAUUUUUUAAUGAAGGGCAAAAAGUUCAAAUCACCUUUUUAAAAGUUCACAUUUUUUAUAUAUUAUGAAUAUAGAUUAUUAAUUACUUUCAUAAUAUAAAUUUCCAAAAUAUAUGGAACUCUUUCCGUUAUUUUGUCAUGUAUAACAUUAAUAUUAAUCAUUAUUUGUUACGAAUGUAUUUACAUUAUUGUGAAUGUCUAUUAGGAAUAUAGAUAAAAUCUAUCAAGAUCUAAUUGAUAUCUAUCAAGAUUUGAAGUAUCUGUCUUUUAGUGAGAUACUAAUAUCUAUCCUUUAGUGAGAUAGUAGGAGUAAAUUUUUCCAUAGAGGGAUUUUAUUCAUUGUAAAUUAUUCUCAAAAAUCUCAUCUCAAAUAAAGAAGUCUCCCCUCUUCUCUCUCUAUUUAUCUAUUUAUCUACUCUUUUUCUUUAUUCUUUGUUAUUUCAAACACGUUAUCAACAUUUUUUGUUAUUUCAUAACACGUUAUCAGUAUUCUUUGUUAUUUCAUAACACAUUAUCAGCACGAUACUCUACUAUAUUGAGUAUAUGCUUUAAAAUAUUGAAGCAGUUUGAAACUUCAAUCAUCAGCCGAAUCAAGGUGAAAUUAUAAUUGUCAAAAUAAUCUCAAGGUGAGUAUGGAAUUUGAUAUAAUCAAAUUCAAUUUACACCAAAUAUAUAAUUGUUAUAAACUCUUAGAUUUUGGUACUUUAAGUACGGUUGUGAAUCUCUAUGUAACAUUGAGUAGCAGGUAUGUUUAAGGUUGUAAUUAAUUUUGAAAUUUACUUUCUCACAAAAAAAAAAAAGAAAUUGCUCUACAGUAAAUUACCUUAAGAGUAAUUACUUUUUUAUAAUUAGUAUUACGUUCUUGCAUGUUAAUAUUGAAUUUAAGAAAUACAAGUGGAGCCACUGAAAUAUGUGCUUGAUUAUCAUAUUGUAUCCCUAGAAUAUGAUAUAAAGGAUCCUAUAUUAAUUUUAUUUAUAUGUGAAUAGCAUGUAUUUGCUAACUAGAUCUAAAAUUUUAUGGCUGUGAUUUUAUUUUUAUGUAGUAUUAUAUCCAUUAUCAUUAGAUAAAUAUCAUAAAGAUCAAAUUUGUAUAUGCCUAAAAUAAUCACAGAGUAGUGAUAUUAUUAUAGGCUCAAAUUUAUAUUUUAUUAUACGUUAUUAUUUAUGUUAUUGGUUGAAGAAAAGAUGAUUGAUUCAAAUCCUAAAAUACCAAAAGAAUAAGAUAUUGGAUUAGAGUUCCAAUGCAACAUGAUAAAAUAUUGGGUUCAAAUCUAAUCGAUGUACGUCUAAGACGCCUUUAUAUGAAUAAGACGUUGUGUUUAAAUCUCAAUGCACCAUAUUGAUGAUAUCAUGAUGGCUAAGGCAAAAUAAUGCGUAUUUCAUGAAAAGUGAUGAAACAUGUCCUAUUGAAAUAUGUUCCAUUCCUGAAAUGAAUGUGGUAGCAGUGCAUAACAUGUCUGAAUGAACACAAGUGGUUGAAUAGAUGCACAUAAACGUGGAAAGGGACAAAAUAAUAAUAUUUUUCACAUGUUUGCAUGCCUUGAUCUUAAAAGAGACUAUAAGCUAUCAUAAUUUGAUAGACUUAAGACACGAUUAUAUUCCAAACCUGGAGAAUGAGAAUCUUAUUAAUGCAAACGUGCAUUUUAUUGUGAUGGUAUCAUAACUCACCUCCGAAUGAGGCAUAAUAACUGAGAAGUGUAAUAGUAAAUUUGAAAAAUUUACUAAAGAAAAAAUACAUGUCAUGGUAAACUUGUGUUUACUACUGUAAAUAAGUUCAUAAGUUGAUAUGAACGAGUGUGACAUCUCGAAGAUGUGCAUAUUGAGUAUUAGACAUGUAUUGAAGAAUUAAAAGAUUCUUCAAGAAUUGUUUAUAUCUCUUGUUCUCAUGAUAAGUUGGUUAGACCAACUAAUAUUGGGAUUUGAUCCCUUAAAAUUCGAAAAGUUAAAAGGUGAAAAGGGCUCGUUCACCUAUUAUGUGAUAUGUUUUGAAAAGAUGCAUCAAUAAGAUGAUCAUAUGUAUAUUUAUUGUGAACCUGCAGUUUGACAUUCAUAAAGUUGUUUACUUAAUGAAAUUGAGUUAAGAGCAUUAUUUUCUGACUGUGCAAUCAAGACAAUCCAUCUUGAUGAAAAUGGGUUGGCAUUUAAUGUCUUCAAUAAAUAGUUAAACCAUUGUUAAUGAGAACAAAACUUCAUGUUGUUGGUCUGAAAUAUGAUUAGGACUUAUAUGCAUUAGACCAAUAAAUUAUGAUUAUUUCCUUCCUCUCAAUUGGUUCAAGGUCAGGAACCAACUAUUCUAUCUACUAGUUUUGAUAUGCGGUAUACAAUUAAUAAAUAUACCAUGAUACAUAAAAAUAGAUUCCUCAAAGAAGAUGGAGGAUGUAUGUUAGUUUUCCUAACAUGACGGGGGAGAUUAUAAGCAGCUCUGAAAUAUGCUAGGAAUUAUCAUCAGAUCCACAUUCAAAAGAUAAUUCAAGUCAUAUGUCGAAAACAUUUACUGACUCAAAUUUAAUCUCAUAUCUAAGCUGCAAGUGCUCCUAUUUUGUGUUCAUAAAGGACAAAAUCUACGCAUGUGUGAAGUGUGGUAGACCAAUCGAUUCCAAAUAAAAUAAUCCUCGAAAAGGAUAAGGAGUAAAUGGUCAUAAUAAGAAGACAAUGUGCUCUUGAAAGAGCCUAGGACAUAACACUUCAUGAAACCUUAUGAGAGGUUCAGGUACUUGAAAAUAAUGAAGUAAUGAGAUCUCAAAAUGUUAUGUCACACUGUGAACCAAUACGAAAUGAUAUAUCAUCAAUGAUAUCUUUGAUAUAAUAUUGAUGCAAUAUUGUAAAAGAUUACGAGGAUACGGAUUCUAUGUUUAUUUAAGCAUGCUGACGUAGAAACAUUUAUCAAGUGACCUAAAAUGAUGCAUUUUGGUAAGCGUAAACCUUAUUUGAUUUGCAGUCGAGACACUUGAAGAUGUCACACUUGACAUGUUGGAUAUUGUCACUCAAUAAAAAUCCAUAUGAAAAUCCCUAGAGGAUUCAAAAUGCCGAAAGCAUAUAAAGUUUAUGGGAAACUUUUUAUUAUCCUAAUAAGAGAUAAUUUGAUGAUCUGAGUAUCAGUGGAACUCUUGGAGAGUUUUCAAGGUAAUAGAAAUAUUUGCUCAAAUGAGAAAUAUGGAAAAUUGAAUACGGAUCCAUUCCGACCUCAAGAAAAGAAUGAGGAACUCCUUGGUUAUGAAGUGUCAUAUCUUAGUGCAAUUGAUGCACUAAUGUAUAUUGCAAAUACUGCAAGACUUGAUAUAACCCUUUUCAAUUAAUUUGUUAGCAAGUUUGCAGUCUUGAUCUUAUUGGUCAUGUUGAUGUUCGGUACUUAUCUGACCUAUAUAAAGUUUGGUCUCAAAUAGGCUAUGUGUUCAUAUGUGGUGGUACAACAAUGUCUUGGAGAUAUACAAAACAGUUUAUCGUAGCCACUUCAUCGAACCAUGCUGAGAUAAUAGUUAUUCAUGAAGCAAGUCGAGAAUGUGUAUGGUUGAGGCAUGAUAUAUCUUUUUUUCCUUCACUAUUUUUUUUUCCUUCACUAAAUUUUUUUUUCCACUGAAUUUUUUCUAAUAAGGUUUUAACGAGGCACAUUAUCUAUCAAUUAAACAUUCAAGGGGAGUAUUAUAAAUGUAUUUACAUUAUAGAAUAUCUAUCAAGAAUAUAGAUAAGAUUUAUCAAGAUCUAAAUGAUAUCUAUCAGGAUUUGAAUUAUCUAUCUUUUAAUGAGAUUUGAAUUAUCUGUCUUUUAGUGAGAAACUAGGAGUAAAUUUCUCCUAUAAAUAGAGGGGUUUUAUUCUCUCAUUCUCAAGAGAAAUAAAGAUGUCUCCUAUCUUUUCUCUAUAUGUAUCUACUCUUCUUCUUUAUUCUUUGUUAUUUCAUAAUACGUUAUUAGCAUUCUUUGUUAUUUCACAACUUUUAUUGUUUCCUUAACAAUGGAAAUUUGGAGCCAUUAAUUCUGAUGAUUUCUAAUAAGGAAAAGUUUUAUCAUAAAUAUAUUUUAAUUUUUAACUCUUAAAUAUUAAAAAAAAUAGUGAAAAAAUAAUUUUAUUUAAAACAAAGACUUUUAAUGGAGGAUAAAAAGUUCAAACAAUAUUUAUUAGGUCGUUCACACUUUUAAUAUAUUACUAUUAUUAUUAUUAUUAUUAUUAUUAUUAUUUGCCUGAUUACUAAGUAUUUUCUACCCUUCUACUUCAUAAAUAAUAAAUUUAUAGGUUUACAAUAUUAAUUAAAAUGCAAAAAGAAAAUCACAAAUAAUUAAAAAGAUGAAUGAAUUUAGAUAUGAUGUAAAACCCUACUACCACAUUGACCCGACCCGUUUUUCCUACCACGGGAUCGCUUAAACCCCUACCGCCAACCCAUUCUUUCUCUCUUUCAGCUUACUUUGAAGCUAAACUGUAGGCACAUUAACGUCCAUUUGUAAAAAUAUUUUAGCUUUUUACGCUGAAUAUUGGCAGCUGCAGCACAACAAUGUAAGAAUUGUUGUUUUUUUUUCUUUGUACUAAAUUUGAAUUUGAUGAUUUCCCAGAAUUAAGUUUUUUUGAGUGUCUGAUUGAUUUGUAAAUGCAAUGAAUUGAGUUUUCUUGUUCUGGUUUGUAAGGAUUAAUGUUUGGUUGGUUUAUUUAUUCAAUUUGAAUAAUACCCAGAAUGGAGUUUUGUGUAUCUAGUUUUUUUGGAAUGCGAAAAUUUUAGUUUUUUUCUUGGUGGAUUGUAGGAAUUAUUGAUUAUUGUGGUUUAAGUUUGAAUUUUUAUUACACCCAGAACUGAGUUUUGAGUUUCUGGUUGAUUUGUGAAUGCAAAGUCUUGAAUUUUCCUGUUCAGGUUGUAAGGAUUAAUGUUUGUUUUGGUUUUAUUUAUUUAUUUAUUUAUUUAUUCAAUUUGAGUAAUACCCAGAAUGGAGUUUUGUGUAUCUCGUUGUUUUGGAAUGCAAAAAUUUGAGUUUUUUCUUGGUGGGGUUGUAGGAAUUAUUGAUUAUCGUGGUUUAAGUUUGAAUUUAAAGGAUACUCAGAACUGAUUUUUGAGUUUCUGUUUGAUUUUGAUUGCAAAGAUUUUUUUUCUUUUUUUCUUUUUGGUGUUCUUGGAUAGUGUUAAAUGUUUAGUGUGUAUUUUUGUAUUGAAGGUCUCGUCUCUGUGUGAAGAAUUUGCCAAAGUAUGUAGCCGAGGACCGUCUCAGAGAAUUCUUCUCUCAGAAAGGGGAAGUCACCGACGCCAAGCUCAUGCGUACUUCGUUAAGUUUCUCUUCUCCUCUCUGCUCUACCUUUUUUUUUUUUUUUUUUAAAUAGUAAUGUGAGCUGUAGACAAACUCUGUGCCUGAGUCCAUAGUUUGUUGUACUGAUACGGGUCAAAAUGGAGGGAGCCAGCUAGAAAGCAUUCAUACAGUUAACCACAAUUAGUAAAGAACUUGUUGUUAAUGACUAAUGUACAGUAGCAUUUCAGUUUUUCAGUUUUUCAUCGGUGGUUUCAGCCAAUAAUUGAUUUUUUGACUGGUAUUCACGAAUUGCUAUUUGAUACUGUAGAGAUUUUUGGGUAUGUUCAUGAAUUUGAAAUUCAUUUGACAUCGACUGAUUGCCACUUUAAGCAGAGAUGGAAAGAGCAGGCAGUUUGGAUUUGUAGGAUUUCGAACGGAGCAAGAGGCUGAGGAAGCUAUCAAGUAUUUUGACAAGUCUUUCAUGGAUAAUAGUCGUAUUAUUUGUGAGGUAUGUUUUUUCUGCUUCAGUUACUAUGCUGUUCUGCUUGGGUGGUAUACCUAUUUAGCAGAAGACGAAAAAGCAUAUCUCUGUUCCAUAUUCCAUUAUUUUGAAAUUAGUCGAUAUAUACAUUUCAAAUUACUCCACCUGUCCUAUUUUAUGUGACAUACUUUCCUUUUUGGUUGUCCAAAAAAAAUGACAUCUUUGUAAUAAUUAGAAAUACUUUGACUUUAAUUUUUUAUUUUACUCUAUUAUAGCCUCAAAACUGGCAUGGUUUUUGUUAGACCACGAGCUCCAAAAAGAUUUCUUUCUUAAACUCCGUGUCAAGUCAAGCACCGCCAAAAUAGCUGGGACACAUAGUAUAAAAGAUGAUGCCUUUAUAAUUUUUCCAAGUAGCUAGUGAAAGUAUCCUUAUAUAAGUCCUGUUAACUUUAUUGCUUUAUUCUAAUUUACAUUGUGAAUUACUUGAAUCUUUAUUUUCAUGGGUUGUGGAUUAUUAUUUUUCUAGAGAGUAGCUAUAUAUUGGUGAUGUGCUUGAAUGAUAUGUGCGGGGGUGAGAGGUUGACUGGGGAUAGUUUCAGGAGAGGUAGAGGUAGGCUGAAGAAGUAUUAGCGGAGGUGAUUAGAGAAGAUAUGACACAGUUAAAGCUUACCGAGGAUCCGACCUUAGGUAGGAGGUUGUGGAGGAACACAACUUAGGGUAGAAGGCUAGAUAGAAGUAGAGCAUUGUCUCGCUUGUCCUCACAUAUGGUAGUCGUCGUAUUUCUCCGGUAGUUUCUUGUCCUUCAAUUUCUGUUACCAGCUACUGUCUCUUGUACUAUAAUUACCACAGUAUUUUAUUGUAGUAGCUAUUCCUUUUUCAAAAUGCUUUGCCAUGAUUUCUUCACUUUUCAUUAAUUUUUUCGAUUUGCUUUCAUAUGCUUUUUCUUGAGCCGAGGGUCUAUUGGAAACUCUCUACCUCCCAAAGUAGGGGUAAGGUCUGCAUGCACUCUAUCUUCCCUAGACCCCACUUGUGGGAUUACACUGGUUAUAUUGUUGUUUUGUUCUUGUGCUUGAAUGACACAUAAAUUCAUUUUCAUAUAGCCAGAUUGCAAGGAAAAUUGGGGAUCCAAAUAUCCCUCGUCCAUGGAGCAGGCACACUUUGAAGAAACAAGAGAAAUUGACAAAUGAGGAUGAGAAUGCAAAAGUAAACAAAAGUUCCAAGUCUGCAGGUUUAAAAGGGGACAAAAAGAAUAGUAAACAGGAGAGUAAGGAUGAGGAUCCUCAGCUUCAAGAGUUCCUUGAAGUUAUGCAGCCUCGGAGUAAGUCAAAGUUGUGGGCAAAUGAUACACUAGCAGCUCCAUCUCUUGCUCAAAGUAAAAAGGAUGGCCAUAAGCAAUCCCAGGCAAAAGAGACUAACCGGGAAAAAUUGGCUACUGAUAACUCUGAGUUAGAUGAGGUUAUUAAAAAAGAGGAAUCUCUGUCAGUUAAUGAAAAUUCUGAGAAACCUGACAGCUUCCAUAAUGAUGAAGUUAUGACCGAUACAGAUUAUUUCAAAAGUAGAGUGAGGAAAGAUUGGUCAGACUCAAAAAGUAGUGAAGACGAUGGUAGUGAUAAUGAAAGUGACACUGAAAGUGGCAAGAGCAAUGAAGAUGCAAAUACUGGUAAUAUCCUCAAACCUGAUGAUACAGAGGAAGUUUUGACUGAUGGGUUCACCAGAUCUAACAAUAAAUCGCUUGAGCCUGCUGACCCUUCAUCAAGUGUUAUGGAUGAAAAAGAAGAAGAUCUGGAGAGUGGACGAUUAUUUGUUCGUAAUCUUCCUUACACCACGACGUAAUACAUCUUUGUUCUUCUUUUUUCCUUUAUCCUUUUUUUUUCUGGGUGAUUUAGUUAACUCGAUAUGUUGACUUCAACAAACCUAAUGUAUGUUCUUGCCAAACAAAUGGUUUUAUGACUCAGGGAAGAGGAGCUGGAAGAACAUUUUAGAGCAUUUGGCAAUGUCUCACAGGUUCAUAUUGUUGUUGACAAAGAUACAAAGCGGUCCAAAGGAUUUGCAUAUGUUCUCUAUGCAUUACCAGAAUCUGCUGCUAGGUACCUGUCAAUCAGCAUCCAAAUUCUAAGCUACUGCACUUUUUACCUGCAAGAAGCACACUGAUAUCCGUGUUAUAAAUUCUGAGUCCCUUGUAUACGUAUGUAUGUGUCUAUUUUUCAUGUUCCAGUGCUUCCUUGCAUUGCUUUUUGAUUGUUUCUUCCAGGGCAUUAGCGGAGCUGGACAGUUCAAUUUUUCAAGGACGAUUACUUCAUGUCAUGCCAGCUAAGCAGAAAAUUUCUCCAGAGAAGAUAGAGUAAGUGUUGUUUUACCACGCUUUUCAAUGUUCAUAUCCAUUAGAUUGUUUGCUUAUGCAUAUAUGUCGAGAGAAGCUCUCCUUUUUCUUUUUAAUAAUGUGGGAUCUACCUUGCUAUUAUAAGAUUGGUUCAUUUAUUACUCUGUAGGACAGUUGAUAAUACCAAGCAAUUUUCAAAAACAUUUAAGCAGCAGAGACUACAGGAAAAGAAGGCAUCUGAAGCUAGUGGAAAUACACAAUCUUGGAAUACUCUUUUCAUGCGGCCAGACACCGUAUGUACACUAUCGAAUGUUAUAAUUUAGAAUAUUUUUUCUUACUAUUAUGAGGGUUGGUUCUGUCAUUUUAGAAUUUUAAUCUAUGUUUUGCUAAGACACACAUUCUUAUCCACAUUCUGCGCCACAUAAAAUAAUACAGAAAUUUAUGCAUAAACUCUACAUGGAUUAUUUAUGAGGAAAACGAUAACUAACAUCUGAACAUUGUACAAUUUAAUAUGGAUUUUUAUGUGAAGCUUAAAUUUCCUCAAUCCCAACCAAACAUGGUACAAAUUAACUUUGGGAUUUUUUCUUCCGGGGGGUGGGGGUGGGGGUGGCUUUGUACAUCAACUUUUACAGCCCCUUGAUGCUUGCUGUAAUAGACUGGGUUUAUCUUUUUUUACAUUUGAUCUGAUUUGAGUUAUUUUUGUUCCUAUAUUAUGCUUCUUGUAAGAUGAUUUGGUUGUUCAAAUCUUUGUAGCUAUCCUAACUUGUAUAAUCAGUUUUUGAAAUGCUUCAGGAUCUUUAAUUACUGCCCGUUUGGGUUGAGUAUGCAUUCUACUGUGUCAGCGUUUGGACUUGUUCUUGAAAGUAAAAAUGAGCUCCUUCUGUUCUUUGAAAUUUUUUAGGUUGUCGAGAAUAUUGCAAGAAAAUUUGGUGUUAGUAAAAGUGUUCUUCUUGAUAGAGAAGCUGAUGAUCUUGCCGUACGUAUAGCAUUGGGUGAGACUCAAGUGAUAGCAGAGACGAAAAAGGCUCUUGCAAAAGCUGGGGUUAAUAUUGCUUCACUGGAAGACUACGCUGCUGGAAAAACUGAUGGAGUGAAACGAAGCAAUCACGUUAUUCUAGUUAAGAACUUGCCCUAUGGUUCGUCAGAAGGUGAACUUGCGAAUAUGUUUGGGAAGUUCGGGAGUCUGGAUAAGAUUAUUCUUCCUCCCACCCAAACCUUAGCUUUGGUUUGUGCUUUUAUCUUUGAAGCCUUUGGUUUGAAAUGACUAUUCUUGUAACUAUAAUUGUUCUUUAUGUGCUUUGUGACUUUUCCGUACAAUAGGGUGUUCUGAUUUGAUACUAAUAGACCAAGUUUCUGUUUGUGUAAAUAGACAUGAAUUAGUUGGAAAUAACAAGAUUGUUUGCUGCUUCUGUGAUUAUUACAAUCAGGUUGUCUUCCUAGAACCGGCAGAAGCACGCACAGCUUUUCGGGGCCUAGCAUACAAACGUUACAAGUAAGUGUAUAUAUCCGUUUCUUGCUUUUGAUACAGCGGUGAUUUUUGUAGUUGAACAAGUAGCUGUAUAUGUAAAGACAAUUUCAUGUCAUGACUGAUAACUAAGCAAGAUUGGAAUAGCUUUAGAAUUGGGAUAACACAUAAAUACUCUCCUCAACUUAUUGUGAAUAUUCAUCUAUACUUUUUAACUUUGCUAGUGCCCUAUUACACCCAACCCCCAAGGGGCCUUUUUGAAGUUGAGUAACUACCAGAUUUGUGUUGGGUGUUGAAAUAACACCACUUACUCCAUAUACUUUGAAGUUGAGUAACUUUGCUAGUGCACUCACCACUUAAUUUUUGUUCACCUUUUUUUUCCAUAUACUUUGGUUAUUUCUUCCUCCACCUUUGUUCAAAUGCAUUAAGCGGACUCUCCCCCAAUCUAAACUUUGCGCCUUCCUCUCACUCCUACUCCAAUAAUUCCUUGUCAAUGAUUAGUGAUGUCGCCCUGUAUUCUCGAAACAAGGUGCAUUUUAUGUUACCUCGGAUCCUGUUAGUGAGAGAAGACUCAAAAUUAGAGGGAAGCCAUGGAAAGAGAAGGGAAUUCCAUUUUUUUUUACUUUGCUUUAGAGAAUUGAGAAACCUUCCAAUUUUUUAUUUUGCAAGAUUGAGGUUUCUCCUAGCUUGCUUUGUUCUUUCUAGCACAUAUCAGUUUUGCUGCAUCUCAUAUGCAAUAUAUUUUGAUUCAGUCUUGAAAGUUUGGAAUUAUGAAGUAAAUUUUGUCCCUUUGUCCUGAUGCAGAGACACUCCCCUUUAUUUGGAGUGGGCUCCUGGGAAUAUUCUUGAUCAAACGAGUGAUUCCAAAAAUGAUUUUAUUGUUGGUGAAGAUGAUGUAAAGAGAGUGCUCCUGGAGCAACAAGUGGAAGGAAUAGCAGAUCCAGAUGUUGAUCCUGAUAGAGUGGAGGUAUAUAAACUGUAAAACCCAUGUUUCCCAUCUUUAUAUAGAAUGUACUUUGGUGCUAAGUCCCUACUGUUGUAUGAGUCUACUUGCGAGCUGUUUAUAUCUACCUGUAUUGUAUAGACUAAUACCUAGCUAAGUUUGUCCUCGUCAAUCUUUGCUUGUGGAUUAUUUUUCUGUUCAUCUCCAUUUGCCAGCAACCGCAAAUGAAGCUUUGUUGAGGUUGGCACUUCCAUUUGAUCAAUAGUCUAUUAUUAUAUGCACUUCUGUCGCCCUGACAUGUGUCCCACCAUAUGACACAAAGUUUCACUUUAUGAAUGCCAUUUUAGGAGUCUGUCAUGUUGGUACAUUUACUUUAGGUUCAAUGUUUGUUAGGUACAUUUACUUUAGGUUCAAUGUUUGUUAGGAGUCUUUUAGUUUCGAUACAGAUGCUAGUAGAAAAUGUAAAGAAUCUCUAGUGCUAGAGAAACCAGAUCAAAAUCGUAGAGAGACGAGCUUGAGUGGAGUGGCAUCUAGCAUGUGUUGAGGACUCAUACAACUGACCCAACUAGCAUGAGGUUGAGGCGUACUUUUUGUUUUUGUCGAACACAAAAAUGUGGAAGAUAUUACAAAUUUAAGUGGUUUUGUUUUUGUUGAACACAAAAUGUGGAAGAUAUUACACAAAAUGAGGAGUGGCAUCUAGCAUGUGUUGAGGACUCAUACAACUGACCCAACUAGCAUGAGAUUGAGGCGUACUUUUUGUUUUUGUCGAACACAAAAAUGUGGAAGAUAUUACAAAUUUAAGUGGUUUUGCUUUUAUUGAACACAGAAUGUGGAAGAUAUUACAAAUUCUUAAACGAACUCUUACAUUUGAUUGAUACUGGUAACGUACUGGUAUAUAUAAAGUCACAUUUUCAGAGAAAUGAAGAAACCCGGCUAUGCAAAAAUCAAAUUUACAGACAGCCUAUCAAAUCGAUUAGAGAAUCUGUUUCCUCUAGUAGUAUGUAAGACUUUUUUGAGAAUUUCUACUAGUAUGUAAGACUCAAACUUAAGUCUACAUAUUUAUUCAAGUUUUUAGUUUGCUGGAAAUUAACUGUGGCCUGCAUAUGAUAGGUCCCCAGAAAAUCAGAAAUAAAUAAUUCUCAAAUAUGAACUGUACUCUUGUUGUUGUUGUUGUUGUUGUUGAACUGUACUCUUGGUAGCAGCAGACUAUUGAAUACACAUGGUCACAUGACAUGCUGGUUCAGCUGCUCCACUAUUGCCAAAAAAUCAUGCUACCUGUACCAAAAACCAAAAGAAUUCAGUUAUUGGAAAUAAGUAUAUAGUGAAGAACAUUGCAGUUAUAGAAAUUCCUUGUUACUUCUUUGUUUGUUCUUAUAACUGCCUUGAUUUCUCAGGUUUGUUUCUUGUUUCAUUAACCAAUUGAUAUUCUUGUUGUCACCUUUCCAGUCACGAUCACUGUAUGUCAAGAACCUAAAUUUCAAGACAUCAGAUGAGAGUUUAAAGAAACAUUUCACUGAUCACAUAAAGGAUGGGCGAAUAUUAAGUGUGAGGGUAAGUUCUUGUGGCUCUUUUUUAUGCUGAGACGCCAAGUAUUUAGCAUAGUAUUUCCUUUGUGCUACAUGAAAAAAUAACUAGUCUUCCUCCAACACCUGUUAAUAUUAUUCUGUGAAGGUGAAAAAGCAUGUAAAGAAUGGAAAAACUGUCUCGAUGGGUUUUGGAUUCAUUGAGUUUGAUUCUGCUGAUACAGCAAUCAAUGUUUGUAAGGAUUUGCAGGUAAUCAGUCUGAUUUUUGUUUUAACAUUUUGUCCAUACAUUCGGGCUCCUACAAAUAGCGUUUCAUCUUCCCCUCUUCUUGUCAUUCAGGGAACUGUUUUGGAUGGGCAUGCACUUAUAAUGCAACUUUGCCACACUAAGAAGGAUGAUCAACUACCAAAGAAAGCUGAGAAUGAUAAGAGUUCGACUAAGUUGCUUGUUAGGAAUGUUGCUUUUGAGGCAACUGAAAAGGAUCUCAGGCAACUAUUCAGUCCAUUUGGGCAGGUACUUCCUCUGAAGUGUUGUUAAUGUAGGGUGAUACUAAGUAGUAGAAAAUAAUACUAGGUUUUCCUGUGUUGGGAAGUGGCAAAGCUAGAAGUUAAUUGAGGAUAAGUAUGUCUGUGGGCACGAGGAUGCAUUAUAUCCUGUGCAUUUCCAUUGAGUCCAUAUGAGAGACAUUUAUCCAUAUGUAAGUGGGCAUGUAGAAUUCUCUCCGAUUUGUAAUGCUUUUGUUCAAAAUUCCAGGUCUAGUGGAAUGUGUCAUGAAAUUUAUUAGUGUGAAAAAUGUUGAUAUAGACAAAAUGAUGCGUGGUAAUUGGCAGAUGAUCUAGCCACUAGAAGCUAGGGCUAGAAAAAAAAAAAAACAUUAUGAUGGUUACUUGAAAGUCUGACAUAUAUGUUAUUUUUGACCUGCAUUCAUCAUGUUUCACAUAGCGACUUAUUUCAAUGUCCUUUCCGUUGACCUCAAAAUUAAAUUCAUCCUACAGAUUAAGAGUUUAAGGCUGCCAAUGAGGUUUGGGAACCAUAGAGGAUUUGCAUUUGUAGAGUUCGUCACUAAACAAGAGGCAAAGAAUGCCAUGGAAGCUCUAUCCAAUUCUCACUUGUAUGGGCGCCAUUUGGUAUGUGAUCUUGCAAUUCUCAUAGUAUAUAUCUACUACCUAAAUAUCACCAAGUAAUAUGUUGUGGUGCAUGUUACAUCUCAGGUUCUUGAGAGAGCCAAGGAAGGUGAGAGCUUAGAGGAAUUACGCGCUCGCACAGCUGCUCAGUUUAGUACUGAGCAAAAUGGGUUUCAAACUACUAAAUUAUCAAAGAAGAGAAAACAAAUGGCUAUAUUGGAUGAAGGGAGUUUUAAAUUCGAGCGAAUUGCUGAUUAAAUACUUCACAACUCCCUUCAAAUCCCCAAUUCACUUGUCCUGUAUAGGUUAAAGCUACUAAUUCUGCAGUAUUUAUAGCCCAAUAGUACUAAGAUGAGAGCUUGUUUAAUCAAUUUUGUUCAUUAAUGUAAUGUCUUGACAUCCUCUUCGGUUUGUAUUGUAGAUCAUGAAAAGUUUGCUGUCAGUUUGUGACAAAAAAAUAUCAAAGUAGUAGGUAAACAAAGUUUGAUCCUUUGGGAUGUUUCUUAUGGAUUACUUUAAUAAUGAAGAUAGCAUUCUUGUCACAGGGGGGUAAUGUAGAAAUGCUAUUUCUUAUCCACCAUAACCAAAAGAAAAAACUUAAAUCAUCUCGAGUUUAGAAGGUGAAUUUCUUGGUUAGAAAAAGAAGGGCAACAAAGGGUCGAUUUAAAAGGAAAAAAAAAAAACAGAGUGGCCAGUGUGAAAACAUGGACAAUUUUUUAAUUUGAGUCAAAAAAAUUUCCUGCAUUAUUAGAAUGACAAAGAAAAUAAGAAAAAAAAGUGGAAGGAAAUGAAGGAGGACGGCAAACAGGCGUUGACGUCCUAGUUUUAAAUACUUACAUAAAUUUUAAGUGAUAUAUCUCAAAGAAUGUGAUGUAUUCUUGUUGAAUUUUUUAGAAUUUUAAAAGACGUUGGAAUAGGAAGUAAUUAACAUCAAAAGAAUUGAGAUUUGCGUAACUUUUACAUUAUUUAUUCUGCUCUAGAAAAGUGCAAGGAAAUGAAGGAAAAUUUAGCGUCUUUAGAAAAUUCUCCAUCUUUAGCAAAAUAAGAACAAAAAUUUGCGUACAUUUUAUCUUUUCUAAAUUUCAUCUAUACGUGUUGACAGUUUGAUAACAUUUUCUUUUCUUGUUAAAAUAGUUCCUUCUUUUGGUCGUGACAUGCGCAAUUGGAAAAGAAAAAAGAAUCAAGUAAAUUGGUAAUAACGACAUUGCAGAAAUUUACCUCAAAAAAAAAAAAAAUUAUUGUCCCCUUUAAACUAUAUAUCAUCGAUCACUAUCAUUAUUCAUCAUUAUAUAAUCACCAAUCAGCACUAUAUAUUAUAAACUAUCGUCAUCAUUCACCAUCACUAUAAGCUAUUACUAUCAUCCACCACAACUAUCAGUCAUUGUGACAAGGAGUAACCAUCAAUCACUACUCUCACAACUAUCAUCACCAAUAGCUACACCCUUAACACCACUAUUUGCCAAUAUAUCUUCAAUCGACACCCACAAUCACUAUCGCUAGCCAUCACUAUCAUCAACAGUCAUAUAAUGUUUAUAGUAAAUUAAUUUAAUUUUUUUUAUUAAAUUUUACUUUAUAAUAGAAGCGGCAAUCUUGACCAUUUUAGAGUCGUCCUGGCUGCUUCAGCUGCUUCAAGCGUAAUUUUACUAUAUCACCCCUAAUUAAUUAUUAUAAAUUAUUUCAUUUAAGUAUUAUAAUAUUAAUAAUAUUUAAUAAAAGAAUAGUUUUCAAAAUGACUACUAAAUUCCUCAAAGUUCCAUUUAUUAUUAUUCGAGAAUUUUUUUUAGCUGUUUCAAUCGUAAUUUUAAUGUAUCACCUCUAAUUAAUUAUUAUAAGCCAUUUACGUAUUAAAAAUUAAUAAUAUUUAAUAUAAAAAUAAAACAAACAUUUUUUACAUGUCUGCUUCAGUUGGUUCGACAUAAUUUUACUAUAUCACCUCUAAUUACUCAUUAUGAGUCAUCUAAGUAUUAAAAAAUAAUGUUAAAAAAUUAUUAUAAAAUCAUCUAAGUUUUAAAAAACUAAUAAUAUAAAAAAAUAUUAAUCUGCCAAAUAUUUUUCAAAAAUAGGUAAGAAAUACUAUACAUCACAAUAAUUAGCAACUAGAAAGUUUAGAGUCAAUUUACUUUCUUUGGCACAUCUUCAUUGGUCCUUUCCUUUGCCUUCAUUUUUUCAUCUAUUUUAAUUUGUUAUAUAUUUUUUAAAAAAAAACUUGUAAAUCACAAUAAUUAAUAAAUUAAAAAUUAAAAACAUAUAAAUAUUUGACUGACUUUCAAAAUUAUAUCAUUGCUACUUAAAUUGGAAUAGAAGAAAAAAUACUAUAGAUCACAGUAAUUAAAAACUUAAAUUAUUUAUAAAAUAUAAUUGACUAUCAAUAGUACAAAAUUUUAAACAAGGAGUGUAACAUAUAUUAUUUAAAAUUUACAUAAAACUUAUUAUAAAUUACAAUAUUUAACAAAUUAAAAUAUCUAAAAAAAAUUAUUAUAUAUUUUAAAAAAUACAUAAAAGUGCUAUAGAUCAUAAUAAUUAACAAAUUUAAGACAUAUAAAAUAUUUGAUUGACUUUUGUUCAAUUAUAAAAAAAUAAGCACUUUGAUGAAGAUUUAUAGUAUCAUUCAAGUAAAUACAGAUUAAGAUCGUAGAAACAUGAGCUAGUGAUAUAGCUACACCUAAUUCCAGACCGGUUAAUGCAAGAACUAUAAAUAAAGGACCAAGAUCCCCUAUGAAAUAUAAUUGAAUAUCAACGCCACAAAAGUUAGGACAAGGAGAGUAACAUGUAUUUUUUGAAAAUCAUAUAAAAAACAUUACAAAUUACAAUUGUUGACAAUUUAAAGUAUUUUUUUAAUUUUUUUUUAUAUAUUUUUAAAAAAUACUCAAAAAGAUACUACAAAUCAUAAUAAUUAAUAAUUUUAAAAAUUGUAAGGAUAUAAAUAUUUGGUUGACUAUAGAAAUUAUAUCAGUGCUACUUAAUUUGAAAUUAAAAAAGAUUAUAAAUCUCAAUAAUUUUAAAAGUUAAAUUAUUUUUAAAGUAUAAUUGGCUAUCGAUGCUACAAAAGUUUGAAUAAGGAGAGUAACAUGUAUUAUUUAAAAAUUACAUAAAAAAAUAUUAUAAAUUACGAUAAUUAACAAUUUAGAAUAUUCAAAGCAUACUAAAGAUAUGAUUGAUUAUCUAUAUUUUAUUUAUGUCACAUAAAUUGAGACUAAAAAAUAAUAUAUAUUGGGCCCGUGCCAACCUAUUUAAAUAAAUUUAUAUAUUCAAAUAUUGAAAAAUAAAUAACUUUAAUUAUUUAAUAUUCAUAUCUUAAUUACUUAGUAUUCUGGUAAAAUAUGUGUUACCACCAAACAAAUCUCAUCAUUUUGUGACUUAAUCUAUAAUAUAUUAAAAGUGUGAAGCCCGUUAAAAAGUGAUUUGAAUUUUUUAUCCUUCAUUAAAACACUAUACAAUAGACAAAAUCAUCUUUUCACUAUUUUCCUUAAUUUAUUAUUUAAUUAAAUUUUUAUUUUUUAAAGUCAAGAAAUCCUAAAUUAUACGGUAAAAGAAAAAUAUAUAGAGAAUUAAUAUUGGUAAAUUUUUUAUUUCCUUCUAUAUGUAAAAAAAGAGUCUUGAAAUAUUUGGUAGAAAAAAGAUCCUAAAAUAUAUAAUAAAGAGAAUAAGAAAAGAUUUAAUAGUAGAAAACUUUAAGUAAAAAAGAAAAAUAAAAUCUCACCUAAAGUUUUAGAAAAACCAUUAUACGUUUUCUUUUAAUGUUAUGAUUUUAAUUCCUUUAAGUAAAAAGGAAAAAUAAAAUGUCAACUAAAGUUUUAAAAAAACUAUUGUACGUUUUCUUUUAACGUUAUUAUUUUAAUUUCAAACUAUAUAUAUAUAUAUAUAUAUUUCUUUUCUAUAUAAUAGAAACACUAAUUUUGACCAAUGCUUCAUCAAUUGCUAUACUACCCCAAAUUAUUUCAGAAUUUACUAUAUUACUCCUAAUUAAUUAUUAUAAUUCAUUUAAAUAUUAGAAUUAAUAAUAUUUUUUUAUUAUAUUAUCCCUAAUUAAUUAUUGUAAGUCAUUUAUAUAUUAUAAUUAAUGAUAUUUAAUUAAAAAAUAGACAUUUAUGACUUUUGUUUCAGCUGCUUUAACUGUGAUUUUACUUUAUCAUCCCCAAUUAAUUAUUAUAAGUCAUUUAUGUAUUAAAAAAUUAAUAAUAUUUAAUUAAAAAAUUAGAUGACAUGUCUACCUAUAUUACCUCUAAUUGCCCCGUAAUUUAUUAUAUUACCCCUAAUUAAUUAUUAUAAGAAAUUUAUAUAUUAGAAUUAAUUAAUUAUUAUAAGUCAUUGAUAUAUUAAAAUUAAUAAUAUUUAAUUAAAAAAAUAUUUAUAACGUUUGUUUCAGCUCCUUUAAUCGUGAUUUUACUAUAUCAUUCUUAAUUAAUUAUUAUAUGUCAUUUAUGUAUUUAAAAAUUAAUAAUAUUUAAUUAAAAAAUAGAAGUUUAUGAUGUUUGUUUCAACAUCUUUAACCGUAAUUUUACUGUAUCAUCCCUAAUUAAUUAUUAUAAGUCAUUGAUAUAUUAAAAUUAAUAAUAUUUAAUUAAAAAAUAGAAGUUUAUGAUGUUUGUUUCAACAUCUUUAACCGUAAUUUUACUGUAUCAUCCCUAAUUAAUUAUUAUAAGUCAUUGAUAUAUUAAAAUUAAUAAUAUUUAAUUAAAAAAUAGAAGUUUAUGAUGUUUGUUUCAACAUCUUUAACCGUAAUUUUACUGUAUCAUCCCUAAUUAAUUAUUAUAAGUCAUUGAUAUAUUAAAAUUAAUAAUAUUUAAUUAAAAAAUAGAAGUUUAUGAUGUUUGUUUCAACAUCUUUAACCGUAAUUUUACUGUAUCAUCCCUAAUUAAUUAUUAUAAGUCAUUGAUAUAUUAAAAUUAAUAAUAUUUAAUUAAAAAAUAGAAGUUUAUGAUGUUUGUUUCAACAUCUUUAACCGUAAUUUUACUGUAUCAUCCCUAAUUAAUUAUUAUAAGUCAUUGAUAUAUUAAAAUUAAUAAUAUUUAAUUAAAAAAUAGAAGUUUAUGAUGUUUGUUUCAACAUCUUUAACCGUAAUUUUACUGUAUCAUCCCUAAUUAAUUAUUAUAAGUCAUUGAUAUAUUAAAAUUAAUAAUAUUUAAUUAAAAAAUAGAAGUUUAUGAUGUUUGUUUCAACAUCUUUAACCGUAAUUUUACUGUAUCAUCCCUAAUUAAUUAUUAUAAGUCAUUGAUAUAUUAAAAUUAAUAAUAUUUAAUUAAAAAAUAGAAGUUUAUGAUGUUUGUUUCAACAUCUUUAACCGUAAUUUUACUGUAUCAUCCCUAAUUAAUUAUUAUAAGUCAUUGAUAUAUUAAAAUUAAUAAUAUUUAAUUAAAAAAUAGAAGUUUAUGAUGUUUGUUUCAACAUCUUUAACCGUAAUUUUACUGUAUCAUCCCUAAUUAAUUAUUAUAAGUCAUUGAUAUAUUAAAAUUAAUAAUAUUUAAUUAAAAAAUAGAAGUUUAUGAUGUUUGUUUCAACAUCUUUAACCGUAAUUUUACUGUAUCAUCCCUAAUUAAUUAUUAUAAGUCAUUUAUAUAUUAGAAUUAAUAAUAUUUAAUUAAAAAAUAGAAGUUUAUGAUGUUUGUUUCAACAUCUUUAACCGUAAUUUUACUGUAUCAUCCCUAAUUAAUUAUUAUAAGUUAUUUAUAUAUUAAAAAUUAAUAAUAUUUAAUUAAAAAAAUCAGCUGCUUUGUCAUUUACUAUAUUAACCUAAUUGCUCGGUGAUUUAUUAUAUUACCCCUAAUUAAUUACUAUAAGUCAUUUAUUUAUUAGAAAUUAAUAAUGUUUUUUUUAUUAUAUUACCCCUAAUUAAUUAUUAUAAGUCAUUUAUAUAUUAUAUUUAAUAAUAUUUAAUUAAAAAAUAUAUAUUUAUGACAUUUAUUUCAGCUGCUUUAACCAUGAUUUCACUAUAUCAUCCCUAAUUAAUUAUUCUAAGUUAUUUAUGUAUUAAAAAAUUAAUAAUAUUUAAUUAAAAAAUAGAUGAAAUGUCUGCCUAUAUUAUCCCUAAUUGCUCCGUGAUUUACUAUAUUACCCUAAAUUAAUUAUUAUAAGUCAUUUAAAGUUAUUUAUGUAUUAAAAAAUUAAUAAUAUUUAAUUAAAAAAAUAUAUGACAUGUCUGCCUAUAUUAUCCCUAAUUGCUACGUGAUUUACUAUAUUACCCUAAAAUAAUUAUUAUAAGUCAUUUAUAUAUUAGAAUUAAUAAUAUUUAAUUAAAAAUUGAUAUUUAUGACGUUUGUUUCAGCUGCUUUAACCGUGAUUUUACUAUAUCAUCCCUAACUAAUCAUUAUAAGUCAUUUAUGUAUUAAAAAAUUAAUAAUAUUUAAUUAAAAAAAUAGAUGACAUGUCUGCUGCAGCUGCUUCAACCAUAAUUUUGCUAAAUAUCGCUUAUAAUUAAUUAUUAUGAGUCAUCUAAGUGUAAAAAAUUUAAUCAUAUUUUUUUAAAAAAAAUAGACACAAAAUGAUAAAUUAACUCUUGAUGUAUUAAAUUAAGUUGACCUCCUUCAACCGUGAUUUUACUGUAUCACCCAUAAUUAAUUAUUAUUAGUCAUUUAUGUAUUAAAAUAUUCAUAUUAUUUAAUUAAAACAUUGGUUUCGACAUGGCUGCUUCAAGAGCUGCGCCGUAAUUUUACUAUAUCACCCCUAAUUAAUUAUUAUAAGUCAUUUAUGUAUUAGAAAAUUAAUAGUAUUUAAUUAAAACAAGAAAAAUAUGUGUUUAUGACAUGUUUGUUGCAGCUGUUUCAACCAUAAUUAUCUUUGAGAAGAUGAUCCAAGACUUUGUGUUAAUUGAAGUAUCUUUUGUUCCAGUUUUUAUAUGAAAUAAUCUUAUGAAUAUUAGUUCUACAUCUUUUCUAUAUUUUGUAGCAGGUCUCAAUUUUAUCAUCAAACAAUUAAAAUAACCCGACUACACGACACAUUACACCUUUUUAUCAUGUGGAAAAAAACUAUCUUAUAAAACUUCACUCCUUAGCGAGUACCAUCAAAUAGUUAUUAUUUAAAAAAUUAUCGUUUUAAAUCAAUGUACAUUUAUGUUUGUAUCUCAUCAAUAUUGAAUAUUGGUGCUAAAAGAUGUCUAUAGUGUUGGAUCCGUGCUGACACGGGCCAUGCACCUCUUGUAUAUAUAUAUAUAUAUUAUAUUAUAAUCUAUUUAAAGUGUGAAGGGCGUUAGAAAUGUCGCUUGAACUUUUUACCCUUCAUUAAAAGUCUUUUCUUUAGAUAAAAAUCAUAUUUUGACUAUUUUUUUUAAUUAUUUAAUAGUUAAAAAUCAAUUAAAUAUAUUUAUGAUAAACCUUUAAAACUUUUUAAGAAGAUUUAAAAAGUCUAUAAAUUUACAUCUACAAUAUAUUAAAUCCAUUAACCAUUUGAAAUUUGUGAUGAUAAAAUAUACAUGUGCUUAUAAUAAAAUAUAUAUUUUAAACUUUUUACAAUUCAUUAAAAAAAUUAUCUAAUUUUAAAUAAUCAAAAGUUAAUUGCACGUGCAGCUAAACUAGUAAUUAUACAAAUUUCCAUUGACAAAGUGAGGAGUAUAUUCUUUCAAAUCCUCUAACCAAUUUACAGCGGAGUUGGUAGUCCAAAAUAUUUCAAGAAAACUUGUUUCUCUUGUCUUGUUUCCUUUUAAACCCUUUUGUCCACUCUUUACAUUUCUACUACUCAAUUCAUUUGUUCACCAUAUAUUACCUGCCUUGUCUCCAUCUUUUCUCAACUGGGUAUGCCUUCAAAUUUCACCUAAUUCUGUGCUUUCUUUAGGGUUUCUCAUUGUUUUCAUUAAAUUCAAUCAUUCUUUUCUUUGUGGAUUUACUUUUUUAAGUGUGUUCUUUAUAUGAGAUCCCAAUUCACUUUGUGGGGUUUUUAGUAUUUGAUAAUUUUACUUUACUGUAAGUGAUAUUAUUAUACUUUGUUGCUUUGUUAGAAUUACUAGCAUCAUCUGUUUUCUUUGUGGGUUUUCUUUAAUUCUGCUUAUUGUGUACUCAUUUGGAUCUUCCUUGUUACUGUUUUUUUUGGUGGAACUUAGUGUUUGGAAUUUAGAUUUGUUGUGCCCUUAAAUAAGUGGUGUUUUUAGUUUGAACACACCCUUAACCAAACUACUCAUUCCUAGAAAACAAAGAUUGUUUUUACUAACUUAUCCUUGAUAAAUACUUUGGAAAAGAUAGUACUCUUUAGUAGUUUCUUGCUUAUUUAAAACUCUUUUUAUUUAAAAGAAGUUAAAAAUGAAGGAACAACAUGAAUGUCUUCUUGAUUAUCUAAAGUACUACUUAUUUGGGAAUAAAAUCAAAAGGCUGAAAACCACUUAAUUUAGGAAUGGAGGGAGUAGGCGGACAUUGAUUAUAAAAGUUGGCGUGAAUUUCCAGGUUCAGUUUGUGAUUCUGUUAGUUUUUAGUGCUUUCUUGAUUUACUUUUGCGUUUGUUCUGAAUCUUGAUAGAGGCAAUGUCGCAAGGCUAUGCUAUUGAGCUCUACUUUGAUCCUGCACUGGAAAACCAGGUCCUGAAGGCCUGGAAUGUAUUGGCUCGGCGCCAGAUUAGCACUCAGCUUAUUGAGAUUGAGUCUAGACCUCACAUUACCCUCUUCUCGAGUCCCAAUUUUGAUCCAUCAAAGCUUGAGAACAUUGUAAAGAAUUUUUCGUCCAAGCAAGAAUCUUUGCCUCUGUCCUUUGGUUCAAUUGGAAGCCUCCCAAGUGAUGACAAUGUUCUAUUUCUUGCCCCAACACCAACUUUGUCUCUACUUCAGUUCCACUCACAGCUGUUUGAUGCUAUGAAAAAGGAGGGCAUUGAGAUUGCAGAUGAGCAUCGUCCUGAUACGUGGAUUCCUUAUUGCCCGGUAGCUGAAGAGGUGCCUAAAACUCGUAUGGGGGAGGCAUUCACUGUUUUGAGGGAUCUGAAAUUACCUGUUGCUGGAUAUGCAAUGGAAAUUGCACUUGUCGAGUAUCCUCCAGUUCGUGAAGCAUUUUCUUUUGUGCUUGGUAAUACAGUUGAACCUUGAGGUUUCAGACAUGUAAUUGUGUUGAUUUUAGUUUAGGCUUUUACCUUUCAUAUCCUAUAUAGUUGCUCUUGUAGAACCUGAUAUAGAUGGUUAAGAGUGUUAUUAUCGUUGCUAAAUGGUCAUCUGCUUUGAUGAAAUAUUAAGUCAUUUCUGAUUCUUUCCUAUUGUUCGUACUUGCAUUGAGAUGUUGAUCUCUUAUGUCAGUGUUGGUGAUAAUAACAUGCUUAUUUUUUUUUCUUAUCUAUGGGAAGUCUCUGGUCGACCUCUAUUAGCAUAGAAAUUUUAUUUGCUUCUGUGUUCUAUCUUAUAAAUCAUGAACAUUGUUUGGCUUACGUGUUCUACUUUGUAAGUCUUGAAUGUGGUUCCUUUCAUUCAAAUGUAAUAUGUUUUAGUUCUUGUUAAGUUUAGCAAGUUCGAAUCAUGUGAGGUAAAUUUGCUUUUGUUAAAUAAUGUUGAGUAUAAAACUUGCUUGCGUUUAAAAAUGUUCACUUAUACAUUACUGCAGUACACCUUCUAAUUUGCAAGUCUCAAAGAUCAUGUGCUUUCUUUAGAUUGUAAUAUAUCCUGGUGCUUGUUGAAUUUAAUAUGAUUGAAUCAUGUGAGGGGAGUACAGAAGCUACCAGUUUUGUAUGGUUGGUAAAUCAAAUAGUAUUUGGAGAAAACAUGAGGCAGAGUUGAUUGAUGUACUAGCUGAAUAAACUGGAUAAAAGACAAGAACAGUCCAUUAUGUUUGACGUUGGUUUUGACUAACCCUUUUUUUUUUUUUUUUUUUUUUUUUUUUUUUUUUUUUUUUUUUUUUUUUUUUUUUUUUUUUUUUUUUUUUUUUUUUUUUUUUUUUUUUUUUUUUUUUUUUUUUUUUUUUUUUUUUUUUUUUUUUUUUUUUUUUUUUUUUUUUUUUUUUUUUUUUUUUUUUUUUUUUUUUUUUUUUUUUUUUUUUUUUUUUUUUUUUAAAAUCAUGG